rnacentral:lncRNA from 1 species
UACCACAUUCUCUCUCUCACUCUCUCACUCUCCCCCUAGUUGGCUGGCCAUCUUCUUUACUAGAGAUAAAAGAAGACUGAAAAACAAAAAAAACAAAAUGGGUAAAGCUUUACUGAUUGUUGUUCAUGUUUGUUUGGUCUUAGCCGGCUGCAGCUUCACUGUGUAUGGUGAACAGGUUUACACUGAGAGUUCCAUGGCUAUGCCACCAUCACACUACCACACGAUAACCCCGGCAACGGCACCAAGCCCCCACCAUCACCACCACCACCACCACAGCCACCCUCCUACUGCCCCACCGGCUCACGCCCCAAGCCACCACCAUCAUCACCACCACCCCCACCCGCCGGCUCAUGCACCGGCUCACACUCCCGCUCAUGCACCUGCUCACCCACCUUCACACGUUGCUCCUGCCCACCCACCUCCACCACACGUUGCUCCUGCUCACCCACCUCCACCGCACGUUGCUCCUGCUCACCCACCUCCACCGCACGUUGCUCCUGCUCACCCACCCACACCCACCCAUCGUUUCCCUAGGAGCCUUGUUGAAGUUCAAGGCGUCGUUUAUUGCAAGUCUUGCAAGUACGCCGGAGCUGAUACCCUCCUAGGAGCUACCGCUGUUCUCGGUCAGUUUCGAACUCUUUCAAUUUAACUUUCCCUGCUUCUAACUUUUACAUACUUCGUUUUUUCUAUCAUUAUUACUUCAAUUAAUUUCACAUGUAUGUUUAGUUAUACAUCAUGCAUACAUAACAUACGUAUGGAUGCGAAUGUGCAUUUGUUUUCAUGGAUGCGGUAUGUAUACAUUUCCAGAUUUUGAAUGGAGAGAGAGAGAGAGAGAGAGGUGCUCUUGAUCUCUUUCUUUCUCUUUGUUCUAGGUUUAUGUCACAUUCAGUAGGAGGCAUGGUUAUGGCAGCAUAGCUAGCUACUUUUUCCUUUUUCAAGCUCUCUUUUUUAAGUCCUAGUAUUUAAAUUUUUAUUUAUUCUUUUAAUAUUGCCCAUGGGUUCAAUCAAGCUGAAAAAACAAAUCUUGCUUUACUCAUUCUCAAGCCACAAGAGUAUUGAGUUAAAAAAGAAAAAGAAAAAAUGACCACCGAAUGAAUACUGACAAAGACAUUGUUUUGAUAUGUUUUUGGGGAGGCAGGGGCGACUGUGAAAUUGCAGUGCAACAACACCAAGUAUCCACUCAAUGUGGUUGGCACAACGGACAAGAACGGCUACUUCAGGAUCAAAGCACCCAAGACAAUCACCAGCUACGGAGCUCACAAGUGCAAGCUGUUCCUAGUCACAUCACCCUCGGCUUCCUGCGCCAAACCGUCCAAUCUCCACGGUGGAGCCACCGGCGCCGUUUUGAGGCCUGAGUCACUCUCCGCAGGCACACCUCCAGUUGCUCUCUACACCGUUGGCCCUUUGGCCUUUGAACCCAAAUGCCCACAUUAAUCUUCUUUUGAUUAUUUUACCCCCCCCCUCCUCUCUCUCUAAUCUCUAUCUCUGUCUUUUGCUUCAGUCAUAUCGUAUCAUAUCCAGUGCUUUGUACCAAUCUUGUGUUGUAAACUUGUAAUGGGAAUGCCAGUCUGUUUGUUUCUAUUUGUACUGUGUCCCUUCGUUGACAUUAAUAAAUUAUAGUAUCCCGCUAGUUUAAUUAGCAACAAAUAAAUUAUGAGGCUCAUUGUUUGAAUAUGAAUUAUAUUUAUAAAUGCAUAUGCCAUAUGGAUCAUGUUUUUUCCUUUUUUUUUUAAUGUUUUUGUCAUCAUAAAUGUACCCAUAUUAUAAAAUUUUACGGCGGAUCUAAAAUUAAAUGGUAAUUAUAUAUAUAUAUAUAAUCAAAACCAAGAAAAAGGGCAGUAAUAAAACUAAUUGAGUGGUCUGCCUUGUGGCAAACAUGAGAGACAUUGCAAUUGUUACUUUUUUCUGGGAUAAUGUUCCAAAAGAAAAGAAAAGUCAAGUCCUUGGAAUUUGUUUACUCUCUUUUUUUUUCCCUAGUAUUAUUAAAUUAAAUAAUCAUUUAUGUUAAUUAUUUUAAAUCUUAAUUUAUUUUGUGGUGCUAGCCCAUUGGUCAUGGAAAAUGUAAAACGACCGAAAUAACAAGGUCUAUUGAGAUUUCCCGAAUGGUUAGAUCACAAUCACUUAACUAGCACUGGACUGUUGAACCUUUACCCUUGUUACCCUCACAGAUAAGUAUGACUGUGAAGUUUGGGAUUCGAGUUUUCACAUAUUCAAAACUUUCUCAAUUUAGUAUUAUGCAUAAUUAUGUAGAUUUAUUUAAAGUUUUUCUCUCUUGUGAAAUAAGAAUAGAGUAGAGAUAUCUCUGUUUGUGAGGGUUAUUUAUCUGAAUAAAAUAUUUUAUUUAUCUGGACAAAAUAUUUUAUAGAAUUUAAAGGUUGCAAGGGUUAUUUGUCGGAAUAAAAUACUUUAUAGCUAUGAUUAUAAAUAUCGGUUAUUUAUCUGAAUAAAGUAUUUUAUAGCCUCAGUUAUAUAUCUGAUUAUAAAUAUCAAUACAAUUGUCUGUUGUAAUAACUAAUGUAAUUCAGUAGUCUAGUGUAUCAUUAGUAUUAAAAAAAACUAUGAAUGGAAGAUAAAUUGACGAUCACUUAAAAUAAAAUAAAAAAUCUGAUGUAAAAAUUUUUAAUUUGUGAAAGAUAUCUGUUGCGAUUAAACAUCUGCCCGAAAUGUUUUAGAUCACACAUUUUAGAUUUUUAAAUAAUUAAAAUCACAUAUUCAUUUCAAUAGCACCUUUUUUGUGCACAUUGUGGUUAGUUAACCGCGGUGUCCAACUUCAAAGUAAUAUAGAGCAUAUUAAAUUGCAUUCCAUAAUCGAUUUUGUACAUUUUAAGUACCACAUUAUUUUUACAAGUCAAUCACAUGUUUAUUCAUAUGCAUAUUUAGAUAGAAAAUUGGUAAAACAACACCCAAACAUCGUAUAUAUUUUCUCACAAUAAUUAUGCAUCACGUAAAAAAUAUUUCAAACGGUUUUUUUUUCUUUUUCUUUUUUUGGGAAAACAAAGCAACUUUGUGAGGUAAGUUAGGGAUGGCAAUUGUACCCGCAAGCCCACUCAAACCCGCCUGCUGCAGGUAAUUUUACUCGUUGCGGGCGGAUUUAGUAUUAUAAAUUAAAAUCUGCAUAUGGAUACGGGUGGGUUUGGUAUUAACCUUGUAUCCAAUGGAUACCCGCAUGGAUAUCCACCAAACCCACAAUAUUUUUUUUAAAUAUUUUUAAUUUAAUUUUAAUCUAAAAAUGUAUAAAGAAAAUAAUGUCAUUAUUCAAAUUACCAAAUAGCCAAAAGUUCAAAGUUGUGUAUGUGUGUAUGUGGCCCGUCUCCCAUUCUAAAGUCAUAACCUAAAGAAAACUAAAGGCAUUUUCCUUCGAAUUAAUAUUUGAAAAUAUUAAUCUUAAUUAUUAUUAUUAUAGGCAUUGUGUUGGAUGGGUGCUUAUAGUGGUGAAUGAAAUGAAUAUCUUGUCUCGGAGCUUGUUUUAAAUGAUAAUAUGAAAUGUAAUUAUUAUUUUUAGAUACUAGUUUGUAUUUUUAAAUGGAUUUGUGUAAUUUAUACUUAAAUUUGAGAAUUUAUAUUGGAUUGAUGUUGAAAUUUUAAUUUUUCAUUUACAUUGUUUAAAUAUAAAAUUGAGUAUGUUAUAUGGAAUUUGAGGUUAUUAUUAUAAAUUUAUAUAUUAAAUAUUUUUUUAUUUUAAAUACGGAAACCCACAAAAAAUCUGCCAGGUACCAUUGCGGUUUUGGUAAUUGUUAAAACCCGCUGCGAGUGAAUUUUUUUUAAAAAAUAAAACCCGCUGCGGGUUGCGGAUGGGUUUAGUAAUUUAAAUUUUGUGCGGGUUUGGGUUUGGUAAUGGCAAACCCGCUGCGCUCGGUGCCCAUUGCUAUCCCUAGGUAAGUAGAAAUGAUGAUUAAAAUAAAUUUUAAAAAUAUAAAUUUACGGCUAUAAAUUGACAAAAAUGAUACGCAUCUCAUCAAUAAGCCCGCUAAAGUAAGAUAUUUGUGCAAUUCUAUCAUUAAUUCAAACUUUAAGGAUAUUCAUUAAAAUAUUUUAAUUUUUAUUUGUUGUAGUGUAGAUUACAUAUCAUUCCUCUAAAUCAAUGGCGGACAAGGAUUUUAAUAUGGGAGUUGCUAAAAUCUAUUGUAAGUUAACAUUUUGAGAAAAUUGAGGAUUGUCUCGAAAAAUAAGACAGGGGGUCAUCUUAAAAAUAUUAUAAUUUUUUCUACUCAUUUUCUAAAAAAUUUAAAAAAGUCGGCGACCCCUGCCCAAAAUUGGCACCGGUAUCUCGAAUAAUCUUUUUAUUCCAAAUGCCCUUUUUGACCGAUAGCAAAAUGUAAAACGUAUCCGAUGGCAAUUUGCACUAAUUUUGUUCAAAUGGUGAAUCAUGGUGAUGGGGUCACCCCAUGUCGAUUAAUCAUGCUUUUGUACGCCCAUCAUGUCAUUUUCUCUCUCUCCAUGCAUGCAUUUGUCUUUACUCCUCUCAACUCCACAAAAAAGAGAGAGAGAGAGAGAGAGAGAGAUUGGUAUAAUCUGAUCAUUAAAAUCUGAGCCGUUAUUUUGUUGUUUCUUCAACGGUAAAAAAGAAAACAGCAAGUUUGAAAAAUUAUGGGGUCCAUGACUCUGCUUCGAGUACUACUUGGUAAAAUUGUUAACGUUAUCAACAAAUAAUGGAGGUGUGGGGUUGGGAACCAAAAAAGGAAUAGGCUAGCCGUUGAGAUGAUUUUGAAGCUGCACGCGGCUGCCUGUAUGAGCAGUUCAUCUUUGUCACCUUCUGUUAAAAGUUUUGCGAAGGAUUUGACCUCCACCGCCUGACUUGUCUAUCAAUUUUUGAUGCUAUCUCUUCUUUGGUUGUGAAGUUUAUUCUUAUAGAUCCCUCUAUCUUACGAGGAUAUAAGAUAGAAAUUGUCUAUUCUUAUUCAUCGAAAGACAGAAUCCAAAGAAGUGUUUCAUCAACUCGACAUAGACUCGUACAGAUAAUUUACCCACACUUAUAUUAAGUAAUUUUAGACGAUAUGAAUCACGAAAUUGUUUGGAUAUUUUUAAUUAGAGUCAGACUAUCUUUCUUAAAAACAAGAAUUGGACUACUGUUACCACCAAUUAAUCUCUUAAAACUCAUUUUCUUUACUUAUAACAGCCUCUUCAUGACAAAUUUAACCUCAAUUAAAAUCAUUCUUCAUCAUACCCCCCCCCCCAAACUUUCUAUUUUCCUCUGGUUUAUGCCCCAUAUCUACGAAAAUUUUCUCUUACCAAACAAACACUUCUAAGUAUAUAUAUAUAUAUAUACAGUUUUUUAUUUAUUAAAUUUAAUCUUCUUAGUUGCUCGCGCUUGGUUUACGGGGAAAAAAAAUUGAAAGAAAUGUAUUCAAUUUAAAAUUUAUGACAAGUAUGUCAGAAUAACAAACAAUACUUGUAAUAUGUUUGUGUAAAGAGUUUUUAGCAACACUGUAAGAGCAACCUCGGACCAGCUGCCUGUGGCAGUGUUUUUAUUUUUUUGGCAGAGACUAAGGCUGCUAUUUUAGCAAUUGAAUCAACUAUUGACAGAGGAUGGCAUCAGUUAUGGUUAGAGUGUGACUCGAUAUUAAUUGGCUAUUCAUUUAUUCUCUCAUCCCUCUUUGAGUUCCCAAUGAAGUACUCAAAAUUGAUGGGCAUUCGUUUACUUCUUGUUCACACCGUCUCUCACACAUUUGGGAAAGCAAUGGUUUGGCCGCUGACCUCGCUAAUCUAGGCAUUGGACGUCCUUCCUUUACUUGGAGAAGUUCCGUGCAUUUCGAGGCUCAGUGCGUUGUUUACGAAGAGGCUAGUGGUUUUCCUAUACUCAUAUUUACUUGAUAUGUAUUGACGCUGCAAUCUGAUCGUGUUAGUUAUCGACCAAACGCCUAACUCUAACACUUAAAUUUAUAGUUGGGGAGAUACCUUAACUUAUUAUUUUUCACCCAAGUAAAUAUACGCGACCAGAAACACUUCUUGAUCUAUAAUCUUAAACCCUAAACCCUAAACUCUUAAAUCAUUUCUUUUAGUUUACAAGAAAAAUGUAUACCAAAAUAAUGUGAGCUUUCAUUAAAAAUUUCUAAAAAAUAAAAAGGACUAAGAAAAAGAAUAAAACUCCGGUUGUUUUGUAUUUUUAGAGCAAGAGAGUUUAAUAAUAGAGAGAGAGAAAGAGGAUCACUUAUGUGAUUUGAUUUCUUAGAGGCUUUAAUAAGCAUGAGAACACUACGCUUCUUGGACUGUGGCACGAUCGUUAGUGAAUCAUGUUCAUGUCCUUUAAGAGAAGAUUUGCAGGUUGACUUUUAACCAAGUCUUUUGGUUGAUUUGGUUUGAGUCUCUCCAAGAUCCCUGCUCAACAGCACAAUCUAUCUGCUCGUGUCUUUUUCAACCUAAAGAAGCCACUUUGUGAGUAUGGGCUGAGCACGAUUUGUGAGAAGAAACACCCAUUCACGCUUCCCCAUUUUAUCCACCAAACAAUAGCCUUGACUCUUUCAUAUAUCUUUCCAUGUCCCUCUUGACUUCUCUUGUGUUUAACUUUUAUUUGCUUUCAAUAAAUUCCUUGUUAUAGCAUGGACCAUUUAUGGAAAAAGAUAAUAAAAGAAUGUAUUUUACAAGUAGGUUUAAUUAAAUAUAAUUUGUGCUUGUAUGUAAUUCAAUAAAUGAUAAAUUUGUAAAUAUCCUAAAGGAGUUAAUUAAUUCGGGUGGGCCACGAAGGGCUGUCUCUACUUGGGCUUUCUCGUUGCUUAAAGGGAAUGGACUUUCACCAUUUAGAUGGAUAAUGGAUUCGUCCAUGAUAGCGAAAUGCCAUUGAAGCCCGACAAAAUCAUAGUAGACUAAUGGUCCACAUAGAAAGCGAAAACUAAUGGCUUGUGUGUUAAAUAUUUCUGAGUUUGAAAUUUUAUUAUUUUUCAGACUAUUUUAAAUUUACUUAAUUAUUUUUUGUAACAUGUAUAUGAUUUUUAAAUAUUUACAUUUGAACAAAACUAAUAAAUUUUUAUGGCUUUUAUCUAAAUGAGAAAAAAACUUAAUUGGAAGUAAAUAAUGUACCCCAAAAUAUUUUCAUUAAAUAUACUUAUUUUCUAAACUAUAAAACAUUACCCCUUUUUUCGUUUUGACUUGUAAGGAUAUAAAUGUCAAAUAGUCAUGUUUAAGAUAGGGUUAUAAAAUUUCAAGCUCGAAUCGGGCUUGGCAGAGCUUGAGCUCAGCCAGAGCAUGUUUCCUGUCGAAUCGGGACGGGCAUAAAAGCCUGAAUUUAUGUGUUACAUUUUUUAAUAAUAUUUUUCACUAUAUUUUACAAAUUUACAAUAUGGAAAAUUUGUAUUUUUACUAUAUUAGGAUUUAAAAGUAGGGACAAAAAAAUUUAAAACUUUGAAUAUAUGUUAUAAGAAGAUUAAGUAAAUGCUUUUUGAGUAAAGCCCAAGCCUAGCUUGAAACACUUGGACUUGUGCCAGGCGGGAUUUUUCUAUCAUCCUUAGUGUAAGAUUUUUUUAUUUAUAAAAAGUAGGAGUGUUUAGAAUCAAGUCCAUCCAUUCCAUUCAAUCUGUCUGAUUUAUACAAAUCUAAUAAGUGGAUCGAUAUAUUAUAUUGGAUUGAAAAUUUUAAAUUUUACAGUUAGUGGAUUGGAUAAGUAAAUCCAUAUAAAUCAACAAAUUCUCCAAUAAAUAAAAAUAAUAUUUACUUUGUUUAAACAAAUUAAAUAAAAAUUUAUAACUAUAGCAUUUAGUAAAUAAACAAGUUAAAAGUAACGUAUCUUAUACAAUAAUAUACACAAUAAAAAAUAAUUAUAAUUAUAUAAUUAAAUAAGUAAAUAUAGUUGCCUCAACAAUAUUAUUGGAACAACAUAUUUUUAUUUGUUAUUUACUUCAAUUAUGUCUAUCUUGUUUAGGUUGAAGUUCAAAAUACGAAUUGGAGGUGGACAUUUUGACAAAUCAUCCAAACAUUCAAGUUUCAAUUUUUGUAUUGAUUUAAUUCCAUAAAUUUAGUUAAUUUUCAUAUAUUAAUCUAAACAAAUCAUAUUUUUUCUUCUUGGUGUGUUAUAAUUUGAAAUUUUGAAUGUAUUAUUUUAGUUUUAUUUAAGCAAUUAAUUUAUUUGGAUGUUAUUUAGUUUUGAAUUUGAUUGGUAGUAAAAUUACUUUUACAUUAAAAUUUUUUAUUUAAUUAUUUGAUGUUAGAUAGAAUGAAAAUUUUCUUAAUUCACAACGAAUCUGCAAAAUAUUAUUAGAUGUGGAUUGUGUCAAACUUGCAUUCGAUUUGCAAACUUAUGGAUUGGAUUUACAUUGAAUUUCAUCAAUCCAUAAAUUGGAUUGAAUUAAAAAUUUAUAAUUUGUAAAAUCAUGGAUCAUAAUGGAUCAUAUAUAGAUUGGUCUCUAAUUUGUAAAAUAUAAUAUACAAACACUCCUAAUAAAAAUAAACCAAAUGUCACUUAUAUUAAAAAAAUAAUAAUAGCAAACAACUAAACAUGUGAUUAAGAUAUUUACAUUUAGAUCUAUUUAGCCUUAAACAAAUUUAAACCUAUUGAGAUUUCAAAUACAAAAACAAAUGCUGUCUAAGAGUGGUGCAAUCAAAACCCUCUCUUUUUAUCAGAUCAAUCCACUUUCAUUAUAUUUUAUUUUAUUACACUACAAAAAUAAUAAAUAUGGAUAAAACAAAAUUAUCAUAAAUGACAAAUGAUGAAUCUGAGUACAACUUUAGUAACCUUAUGAGUACUAAGGAACUUAAAAGAACUUCCAAAGGAAAAGGGGUCAAAACAGCUAAAACUAAGGAAAUUAAUUAACAAUAAGCUGCUACAGUAUUCUCAACUCUAAUUGAUUAAUAUUACUUCAAUUUUACAUCCAAAGGCUUUGUUUCUUGCCAAGCGUGACAUGGCUUCGCAACACCAUGUUUUUAAGUGGUAUUGAUUUGUGUUGCAAUCUGAAAUUGUUCUUCAAUUUAUUUUCACAACCCCCGUCGUUCUUCAAGUCAUGGAUAAUUGUUCCAUCGUCUUCCAAUUGACCAUAAAAAGUGUAAAUUUGUGUUUUCGUCGUGAUAGAGUUUCCAAACACUAACAAACCCUUUGGGACACCCAGAAGCAUUUGAGAUUACUUUACAAAGAUUUACUUAAAAAUAAUUUGGUUUUGUUGAUUUCGCCGGGAACUGGUAUUUAAAGGUGUUGCUUGAAGAACUGAUGAAAUAUUGGAAUGAAAUGAGGGCAAAUUGAGAAAUUUAAAAAAUUUAAAUUAAAAGUUGGGGGAUUUGGUGAGAUAAAAUAGGGCAAGGCCCAGAUGGAUUGUUUGCUUUCUUGGGCUUAAAGGCUGAUUUGACCGAUUAAAUAAGAAACCCAAACUCAAUUGCUUUCGUAUGCGUCAAGUGAUCCAUACAUCAUCGAUCACGAUUGGGUCAGCGUGCAUCAAGCACUAUCCAAGUUGAUUCAAAAAAUAAUAAAUAAUAGAAUACGAGUGAGUGUCUUCUCUGUUACAUGACAGCAGCUCCCCUUGCGCAAGUGCUUGUGCUACCAGCUACUCUGGUGGUGGUCCCCGUCACAAGUUUUUCAGCACUUUGCUUUCAAGUUAUGCGUACCAUAAAUGAGAAUUGGAUUCCUCUCUCUCUCUCUCUCGCCCCCCUUUUCACCGGUUGUGUGUGCCGUGUCUCAGCUAAAAGCUUUGGACAGUGGCUAUGUAUAAAGUAUAUCAACUUCAAUGUGGGGCAUCAUUAAAUCACUCCUCUCCAAGCUCUGUCAAAGAUUAAUUUUUUUUUUGUAGAUAAAUCAAUUAAUUUCAAGAAAUUUUUUUGAUAAAAUAUCUAAUCCUAUAUUUGGCAGAUUCACUUAGAUUAGAUUAAGUGAACUAAAUUUAAAUUUAGUCCUUCAAUUAUAGGAUUAGUUAUCUUAAUUUUCACAUGGGUUUAAGGAGGAAUAGAAUAAGCAAUGUUUGUCAUUUUAUGAUUUCUUUUUAUUUGUCUAUUUAUUUAUUUAUGGACGUAUUGUUAUUAAUUAUUUAAUUAUUUUCAUGAUUCCAUAAAAAUUAAGCAAUUUAUUUUUUUUAAAUUUAUCUAUGACAUCUUCUUUCAUUUAUUUAUUUUUGUUAAUAUUUAAUGUUAAAAUAAUUAACUAAUAGUAUAUUAUAUGUAUUAACAAAAUUAUUAUUAAGAAACACCCCAUUUAUCAUAUGAAUAUUAUGUAAAACAUUAACAUUUGAUAAAUAAUUAAUUUUAUAUUUAAUUGUUUCAAUAAUAUUUUAUUUAAUAGGAAAAAUAUACAUCAUACAUAUAAAUUAAAUAAAUUUAAUUGUUCUAAUUAAAUACUAUUUAACUUCACUUAUAUUUAAUUUAAUAUAGUUUAAUCCGAUAUUAAUCCUAUAUAUAAUUCAGUCUCAUCCAAUCUAAUCUAAUCCAAUUCAAUUCUUAUAAUCAAUUUGAUUAGCCUAAUUCUUAUAGUCAAUUCGAUUAGCCUAAGAUCACUGCCAUAUACUUUCAAUUUUGAUUGCAAAGAUUCUAAUUCAUCUGAUAGUGUUUAAUUAUAUAGUACUAAUGACAAUAGAAGGGAAAAUGGAGGGAAAGGGCUGCACUUGGUGCUAGUAUUUUUUUUUUAAUUUUUAAUUUUGAAUUAUUUAAAAAUUAUAAUAAUGUGAUAAAAUGAGUUGUUAACGUUAAAUGCACCAUACACACAAUAGAUAAAUUAGAAUAAUUAAGGUGGCAAGUACCUUACCGUAGUCAGUCUCAAGGGCCAAGUGGGUGGGGAUUGUGCUUGUGCAAGUCAAUGCCUAAUUUUGAACACUUUAUUGACGAUUUCAUUUUCUUUGAAUAUUUCUUCCCUCUCUCUCUCAUGCCCAUAGACAUAUAGUCAUGGCCACUGGCCCACUCAUUUUGUCUGUCUGAAAUCCCCAACACCUCCAAUGCCAUGUUACCAGUUGGACUUCUUCUCAACUCUUUACCACCUUCACUCUUGGCGCGUGCGUUCAGUUUCGGAUGGAGUCGGUAAAGUCCCCGACUCCCUGCAGCAUAAGACUUUGAAUUUAAUUUUGACUAAAUCAUGAUGAGUUAUGGUCAUGACUUCAGUACAGUUGCAUUUGCAUGGAUGGAUUGAUGAUGAUUCUAAUAAAUUACCCAUGACUUUAUUGAAUUCUGUUGUAACAGGUAUUGGUAAUUAAUAAUGUAAAAAGAUAAAAAUAUUAAUAAUCAAUAUGUCAAUACGAUCGUAUAAUGAUGGUAUAUAGUUAUUGAUGAUUGAAAAUAAGAAUAAUAAAUAUAAAUAAUUUUUUAAUAAAUAAGAUUAAAUUUUUCUUUUUAAAAAUGACAAAUGUUAAAUUGCGGCCGAUUGUAACUUUAACUCUUCACGUAAGAAUAAUAAUACUGUAGUGGAGCUCACAUGAUUUAUUGCGUGAGAAGUAACUUAGUAAGCUACUUUUGAAAUAAGGAAAAAUUAAUUUCCAAAGAUAGCCUUCCUUAGUCAAACAGAAAGAACCCUCCGUUGACAAUGAAGUGGAAAACACUCAUAAAACCAGAGCGUGGGAUCAGAAAGAGAGGCGAUAGUGCCCCCACCAAAACUUUCUUACCAAACCAUAGAAAGUAAAGAAAACUCUUCAUCUAAUUUCUAAUCUCGAACUCAUCAAAACUCUGUGCUCUCCUCUCUCUUCCCCACCAAAACCAGAACCAGAACCAGAAUCAGAACCCGAGCCCAUCAAUGGAGCACUCACCAAAAUACCAAGAAAAUAGCAGCACCAGCAGCAGCGGCAGCAGCAGCAACAACAACAACAACAACAACCCCUCUGCGCCGAAACCCGUUACGAGAUCCGAAUCUGGAAACCCGUACCCGACUACUUUCGUCCAAGCAGACACCUCUUCCUUCAAACAAGUCGUCCAGAUGCUCACCGGAUCCUCUGAAACCGCUAAACAGGCAUCCAAACCCACUUCACAACCCGACCCAAAUGCCAAAACUCACAGCAUCCCUCCCAUCAAAUCUAUUCCCAAGAAGCAACAGCAAUCCGGGUUCAAACUCUAUGAGCGUAGAAACUCGCUCAAGAAUCUCAAGAUCAAUCCUUUAAACCCUAACCCAUUUGUCAACUCUGGGUUCUCCCCCCGGAAAUCCGAGAUUCUUUCUCCGAGCAUUCUUGACUUCCCGUCUCUAGUUCUCAGCCCGGUCACCCCUUUGAUACCCGACCCGUUUGCCCGAUCCGGGCACGGCAAUCAUGUUAACUAUAACCAUACUUCUUUGCAAGCAAAGGGCGAGAAUUUGGAUAAAGAAGCCGAAGAUAAGGCCAUUAAAGAGAAGGGGUUUUAUUUGCACCCGUCACCAUCAACUACGCCGCGAGAGGUGGAGCCGAGGCUGUUGCCGCUCUUUCCGGUGUCUUCCCCGAGAGUUUCAGGUUCUUCCGCUUCUAAUUCUUAAAUUAUUAUUAGGUUUUUCUUUUAUUUUUAUUUUUUUCCUGUGUAAGAUUUUUAUGUAUUGUUGGUAACGAGGGUGAGAGAAAAAUAAAAUUGUAACGUUGGAUAUUUGCAGAAAUGAGAUAAAAUCCUUGCUUCAAUUGUAUAUUUUUAUGUUUUGGCCGCAAUAUUAUUUCUUUUAUAUUUAUACCAUUUUAGGCAUUAGCAAAUAGCAAUGAUUUGUUCUCAUAUGAUGAUUGAUGGGGAAGGUUCCAAUUUUUCGUUUGAAGGAGUGAAGAGAAAUUAAGAACUAGUGGUAAAUUUUUUCAGUAUUAGCUUACUUACAUUUUCUAGAGGAAUUGAUGUUGUGUGAAUAUAUUUUUUUAAGGAAAAAAAUUAAUUGGAAUUGCUAAAUAUUCUAACUUUUAUUAAUUGUGGGGUCGGUAGGGACUGCCAAUGUAGGCAUGACUAUGGAUCCAGAAAUUCAAUUCCAAUUACUUGAGACUUUGUAAACACAAAACACUGCAGAUGUGAGAGAGAGGGAGAGGAAGAGACGAGUAAUGGGAAAAUGGGAAAACUUUUGUUCGUAUGAAAUGGCCAAAAAAUAAAAGCAGCUUUGGGCAAAGCUGUCAAAGCUAAAUGGGAGAGGGAGGAAUCUUGAUGACUCUUUUGUUUUGUUUUUUGCUUUGUGGAGUGAAAAGGAUGCGCCAAGUAAAGAAUUCUACGUGGACAAUGCCACUUACUCAAUAUCGUCGUCAUAGACUAGUCUCGCACACAUGCCAUCUUGAUUCUAGAUCUACCAUCACGAUUCAUAAUGCUGCGAAAAAUAUUCGCCAUUGGAUACGUAAAUGGAUUAGAUACAGAUUUUAGCUAAACCAGUCUUCAUACUUGUUUCUGUGACAGCGUACAAGUCAAGUCAACACUCAACAGUUGUUCUCAAUGAGGACAAGAAACCUAAAGUGAUUGCAUUGUGAUUUUACAAUUGCUAGCAUUUUAAAAGAUUUUUUGUUAAUGCGAUGUCGACUUAAUUUUCUUUUUCUUUUUGAGUUGAGGAUGACGACUAAUUUUGGGCACAGUUGCAGCCACACAAGAUUUUAUUUGGUUGGACGCAAUUAAUUGAAGGACCCACCUGCGCAGGAAUCGUGCAAAGAAAAGAAAGCUGAUGGCCCCAGAGGCCCAGUUGUUUUCAGAUAUUUGAUUGAGUUUCCUGAAUCUCGAGUCAGUGAGUGGGUACUUUAGACUAGAAUUGCUGUAAAAAGUGGUCAUGCGAAUGGGGGGUUUCUUCCUUUUGCUCUCUUCGAAUCCAAUACCCAAACCCGCUGUGCCGAAACUGUUGCUUUUUUGACUCAAGAGAGACCAACUUGAGUGAGGUGAGACAUGCGGAAGUGCAGGUGUGCAGAAGUGGGUCUUUUUGAUUAUGAAAGACUGAAUAAGCAUUUUGAAAUGAAAUUAAAGAAAGCCGUGAAACGUGGUGUCAGAGCAGAAAAAAACUUUUCAAAUUUAUUUAUUUAUUUAUGUGAUAUAUAAAAGAAAAAAAAAUUAAAUCGUAUUUCAAAAGAUUUUUUAAAUAAAAACCAAUUCAUAUCAUUUUAAUUAUAUUUUUUUAACCAAAAUAAUAAUAACUCAUCUCACUCUUCAAAAAUGAGAAAAUAAAAAAUAAUAUAAUACUGCAUAUUAGAUUUUUUUUUCUUUUCUGAAUACUAAAGUCUGAAGAGAGGGAAUAAUAAUAUUAUUUAAAAAAUAUUUUAGAAUAAUUUUAUUUACGCAGCUCUUUAAACGAUAAGUAGAAUCUUAUUUAAUGAAAAUUUUAGUGAUGCUCUUAAUUGAUUGCUUUUGUUUUGUUUUAAUUUUGGUAUUUUGUGCUGGGGUUAUAGUUCCCAUUUUUUUGAAAAAAAAAAAAAGAGAAGAGGAAUUGGGUUAUAGUUAGUUGGUAGGUCAUUAAUUGAACAAUUGAAACUUCUACGUGCCUUGUUUGAAGAUGCACGUCUUUCUUCCUCUUUUCAAUUUUCAAAGGAAAUUGUCAAUCCUCAACCUAUUAAUUUCCCCCGAUUUUUAAGUAAUUCUACAAAUGUGUAUCUGUUCAGCACAUUCUCUGGAAAAUGACCAAAAUGACCAAAAUGACCAUCUUAUGACAUUAUCAAAAGUUAUAAUCUAUUAAUAGCAAGGUGAAAAAAAUAAUACAAUUUAUUAAAAAAAGAAAAGAAGACUAAACUUUAAACUAAUGGCUGUUUACUGUUUGGAUCAAAGAAAUAAGAAUCAUUUUCAUCCGUGUUUACUUGUUAAAAGUAUAAAGGAAUGAAAGUGAAUUUUGGUUGGGACUCAUAAAUUUGGGAACGAAAAUACAAGAAUUCCCUUCUUAUGGGAGAUAAAAAUGAAAAUGAAGAAAAGAGAAAUAAAUUGAUAUUUUUAACCUUAAAUAAAAUUUAAAAAAAAUUGAUAAAUUUAUACUUUUAUCCUUAAACAAAAUAAAGUUCUUGGUUUAACUCAUUUAAAUAUAUUAUUAUUGUGUUAAAUUAGAGGAAAUAGUGAGUGGAUAUUAAUAAUUUCCGUAUUUUAAAAUACAUCUUUUCCGCGUUCGUUACCUGAUACUGAAAGUACUUAUCCAUCAACGGUAUAUGGGUAUGGCUUGAACACUAAUGCCGGGGUUUCACGCUUGAUAUUUUUGACAAAUUUGUAAGGAACUUUGUUUGUAUUCAAUUGAAGUUGCCUUGAAGGUUCCUGCCGGGCAGUUAGCAGUAUUAACUUUAAAGGAUUAGAAAUUUUAUGAUAAAUUGACGUCAUCGUGGAGAAUUAAUGCAUCAUAGAAAAUAACUAAAAAAAAUCCCACUACUUAAAAAAGUCUCGAGAAAAUAAAGACCUUUUUUUUUUAGUUGAAACUUGCAAAAAGUAUAAUCAAACAAACUAUAGCAAGGAAUCUAGGGAAAAAGCAGCAAAAUAUUUAAAUUUUUAGUGGCCUAAUCAUGAUUACCCGUAGUCUUUUUAAUUUUUAAUUUUUUUUUUUUUACUGUAACUUCUUUCACUGCCAUGCUUGGACAGGACACAAGAUGACACUAUACCUGGGCCGCCACUCACUCUCAGUCUCGGUGUGCACGAAAAACGUAUGAAGACAAUCUAGAAGAUAAGAGCUAAUGUUUGAAAUGACCGGCUGUUUCUUUGGCUACUGCGGUUGAGACAGUCUAAAUAAUUGACCAGCCAGCCGUUUUCAGUGCGAAAUUUGCAGCUGCUUGGGCCGCAAAUUUGGAACCAAAAUUUGGAAUUGCCAGCCCUUUCAUCCCAAUUGUAUGGUAGACAAACACAUGGGUUCAUCAUUUUCUGUUGUCUGGUAGUACAAGCGAUAUUUCACAGUUCUCUUCUCUACGAGGUGAUGUUAUGUGUGUGCAACAAGUAUUUUAUUUUUUCUUAUGGUGACACCAAAAAAAGAAGAAGAAAAAACUCACUCGAAACCUCAAAUCGAGUUUACAGUUUAAUUGGGGAAAUUUAGGCUGGGUUUAGUUGAAUUUAAUUUACUAUCAUCCAAAUUUAUAUAUAUAAAAGAACUGUAUACCUCUAGUAAUCAGACCUAAACUUCUCCUAAAAAUCUUAAUAUAAAAAACCAAAUUAAAAAAAAAAAGAGGCAGGGGUGGUUUCAUCCGAGGGUUGUAUUUCACGAUAUAAGUUUAAUUUUAUAAAUUUGGUGAAAUCUCAAUCUUUCCAUGUUCUUAAAUUUCUAACUUUUGUACAACCUUAUUUGAAUAGUGUUUUAAAAAUCUUUUUGUUAAUUUGACUCUUUAAAUAAGUAGUAAAAUCUCAUUUGAAGAGUUUUUUGACGAUGUUGUAACCUUUUAGUCAAUUUGAAACCAUCAAAAGAACAGUUUUUAAACAAUUACGAAUCAAGAUUCUCUUAUUUGAAAAUGAGGAAAUCUCACUCCUGUUGAUAAAAUAACGUCAAUCAUGUCAUAUAGAGUUUUAUAUAUUUUUCUUAUACUUUUUGAUAUUUUUAAAUUUUUUAUAAUAAAAUUUUCAUUUUAUAUUCUCAAGAUCAAAUAUCAAGUAAAUUAUUAUUUUUUUAAAAAAUCACCGAUAAGGUGGGUGUUAGAGGACCCCUACUUGUAAAAUUAAUCAAAGUAAAGGAAAAUAUGUUUAAAGGGGAUAUAAAACAAAACCUCUAGGUCAUAGGAAAAACAAAAACAAAAUAAGCUUAACAAAAGCAAUAAGAGAAAAGAGAAAGCCAAAUAAACAAAAUUAAGAUAAAGCCUAAUGAAAUAUUAAGCAAAUAAUAAAUAUAUAUUUUUUGGACAAUCUUAAUUUUUGUCCUCAAAUAUGCAUUGGACUAUCUCAAAAUGCAUGUAUAGUAUAGUGUCAUUCUUAAUUUGUAUUAAAAAGAAAAUAUAACUUAUAACUAGAUUGAAACUAUAUACUUUUUUUACGCUGAUUAUAUAUCUUUAAGUAUCGUUAGGAAUAACAUUUUGAAGAUAAAUUUCUUUGAAUCCAUUUAUCAAGUAUUACAGCAGUGGUUAAAGUUAAUUUAUUAGUAAAUAAAAUAUUGGACGAAGGGCCAUGUGCAUGAAUGUUUACAAAAGGAUGGCAUAUUUUUUUUUAAUUAUUAUACACAUGCACAUUUUAUAACACUCGAAUCUAAAAUCUAAAUUUUGAAAAGACUGCCUGCUAACCAGUAAAUUAGACCUUGGUCUCAGAUGACACAGUUUAUCAAUAUGAUUUCCUUAAAAUCACCAUUAUUGAUCCAUUUUUCCGUCUCUUUAAAAUGACCAUUAAUUCUUGAGUGUUAAAAAAUGCUUUCAAAGAGCUAGGUUAAAUGAAUUGGAAAACAAAAGAAAAGCUUAAAGCCCUAAUUAAUCGACACUUGAACACGAAUAAUAUUUUAUCUUUUUAUUGAUUACCUCGGCAAAAUAAAUGGAAGAACAAAAAGAAUUAAUGAGGAGAAGAGACUAGGUUCAAUUACAUGAAUAAAGUUCAUCAAUGUUAAGAUUCAGUGAUUGCAUUUGUACCCAUCCGCAAAAUUUUAAAAAAGACAAAAAAAAAAAAAACAAAACAAUAGAACAUAGAAAAAAAUUACAAAAAAAAAAAAAGGAAAUUCGCAAUAGCAAAAUAACUCAAGUUUCCGAAGAGUACUAGUUAGUUAUAAUCAAGGGGACAUGUUAUUUCUCUCUUUUCUAUUAAAUGAGCUUUGAAUACCGUACCGAUCCUAUGAGUCAAUUAAUUGACUAGGCUGUGGCCCUCUGGCAGUUGGUAAUGGCGGUGCAACCACGGCGGUAAGGGUUAGCGGGGCCUCCUCCAUUGCAAUUGUAAUAAGAAGCGCCACGUCGGUUGCAUGGAACUGAAUUGCCCUGUAGGGCUCCCUAGCUGAUGAAGCCUGCUGCAUUGAGGUGGCGACGGCUAUCUUCUGCGGGCAUCAACACUUCAGUGUCAUCUUCAAUGCGUCCGAUGUUGGUGAGGCGACCCCAGCUGCCGCUGUCGAAGGCAUUUGCCUCUGAUGCCAUGAUGGCCAUCACAAUGCCCAAUGCAAGGAACACCAUACUGAUCAGCUGCUGCUAUGCUGUACCCAUUUUAAUUUAUUACUAUUUAUAAUCAUUAUUUUGGGGGGGGGGCUCUUAAUUAAAUACAAACAAUGGAGUUUAAAAAGAGCGAGUGAUGUUUUAUGUUCACUUGAUGAUAAUCCAUUUCUAAAUUUUGUGCGCUCUCCUGAUUUAUACAUAAAAGGAGGCGAAAUGUGGGAUAUAUACUACUGACUGAAGGGUGGCUGUGAUUUUUACUCAGUUGAAUGAGGGGAAUCCUUUGAUGAUUUUUGUGGUUGUGAACUCUGCGGGCUUAACGUUAAUUUAGACUUAGAGCUGCCCGUUUCUUGCUCCAUCCCUCUGUAUUUCUGUCUAAAUAUAUAUAUGGUAUUAUUAUUGUUGUUUCAAAAAUGCCAAUGGCUUUAAUAGCCAGUAUGUAUGAAGAUUAAUUGAUUAAUUUGUUCUUCAUGUGGUACUAUUAUUGUUGUUUCAAAAAUGCCAAUGGCUUUAAUAGCUAGUAUGUAUGAAGAUUAAUUGAUUUAUUAUGUCUUUAAUUCUGGGUUUUGUUAAUUUUUUUGAUAUGUUUAUCCGGUGAUCCAUAUUAUUGAAAAUAUGGAACAUUUGCCUCACCAAAUACAGAUCUAUCAUGUCAUAUAUACAUAGAUCUUGUCCAUCAUAGAUAUUGCAGUUUGCAAGGAUAAUAAAAAGUAUAAUCAACGGAGAAAUUUCCGGCAAUAAAUCAAGAUAAUUUAUAAUUGACUAGGAUAAGAAUAACACAAUCAGACAGUUAGAUCGAUGAUUAAGUUGAAUUAGUAAGGAACUAAUAUUAGUAUUAAUUCAUAACAAGUCUUUUAAGAAAUACUAACAUUAUAUCAGUAUUAUCUAUUAAGUUUUUGGGUCAAGUUGAUCAACUAAGACAAUACAUGGCAUACAUAUACGCAAUAUAUCUAAAACUCUUGAAAAAGUUAUAACAAUGCAUAGAUUUUAAGAGUGAUGAUGUAUUUUUCUUUAUUCACAUCUAGCAAAUUGAAACAUUUAUGAUCGUGAAUUGCUUUUAAGUUUUGAUGUAUGUGGUUGACUAAACGUAUUGAAUUAAGAUCGUUAUUGUCAACCGCGUCUUACUUCCCCAAUAUUUUGAGGGCGUAUUCCCAUUUUGAGGAGCAUUAGAUCCAUAUUCAUCAAUCCCCAAAUAGAAAGUAGAAUCGCCUCAAUACAUAUCAAUUUGAGUUAUGUGAGACAGAGUUAAUACAAAAAAGGUCUAUAUAGAUAUAUGACUAGAAAUGUUAACGUUUAAGAACAAUAAAAAAAAUGGUGUAUCAUUACUAACUGCUCUGCGCUUUCUUCUCCACAACAUACUAGCACCUCUUAUGUGUUGUCUUUAUCCGCAUUGAAUGUAAUGUUGCUAUACACAAGGUCCAUAAAAUGUCUUCCUUCCUCCUCUCUCACUCUUGUUUGUUGCCUUUCAAAAGUUGACAAUAAAAAGGUUAAAAAUGAACGAUUAGUACAAAUGGGUUCGUGUCGGUUUUUGUCACCAUUCUGUUGAGGUUUAUUAUUUAUAUCAGUAUCACUGCUUUUAAAAAGUAGUACUUGAACAAAUUUUUAUAGGACACAUUAGCAUUAAUUAGUAUCUUCUUCCUAUUUUGUCUCUCCUUGGAUUUGUGACUUUUAAGAAUCUAGUAACACAUGACAAUAAUUGAAUGGUUAAAAUUUGUUUCUCUCCAUUAGCAUUAAUUAGUAUCUUCUUCUUGUAUUUUCUUUCCUCGUACUUUUUGACUUUUAAGGGCCUAAUAAUACAUGACAAUAAGCAAGUUGAAUGGCCAAGAUUUAUUUCUCUUCACUUUCAAAAUUAAUCCAUUAAAUUGAUUAGGUAUUAAAGUAAAAUAGUAAUCUGUAAAGACAAAUUAAACUCUUAUCAUUCCCAAUUCUUCAAUUAACCUAGAGUUAAGGUGUGAAUCAGCAUUGAAGCGUCAGAUUGGUGUUGAUUUAAUUGCAACUUGAACAGAUCUUGACAAAGAUUCUUGGACAGUGAUUUAUUUCUAAUUAGAGAAAAAAGCAAUCAAGUCACUACAAUAGUUUCCAAACCUUCAUUUCCUUCUCCCCUGCAGACUUACCAAGACUUUGGCAAAAUUCAAAUCUAGGACUCUUAUAUGUGAAACCUUUACCCAUUCUUGCUUUUGUCAAAUUAAUUAGUGAGGUAGUCUUAUGCUUGUGUACCCAACCAAACACCAGUUCGAUUGCGUGAAUCAUUUAGCGACAGCAACUAAUUAAGUAUAUAAUUGUUAAAAUAAUAUCUUAAUCUCCACAUUUCCAAUUUUCAUGUGCAUUAGACUUUCAUACAAUAAUAAUACAACAAAAAAUGAUUAUCUGGUUGGCCCAUAGUGAAUGCAAAGUUCACCAAUUAAUCAAAAUUGUCUUUCGAUUAAAAAAAAAGUUAGACAAAAAAAGACACUUGUGAGCUGUAAUCGAGUCAAUAAUAUCAUAAGUCUAAUCCCCGGUGGUUUUUUACUCCCCCUUAAAUUAUACCAAGUAAAUGAACUUUGAAUGUGGCUUUAAAAUGAUCCCAAUCACAAAACCUAACAACUACUACGUAGACCCAUUUUCAUGCUUUUCUUGAUUGAUUGAAAUCAUUGUUCAUUAAAUUACUCAUUAAUUCCCCCAUCAGUGUUGUUACUAGUUAAGAGAAAUAUUGAAAAAAUGACUACAAAAAUCACGAGAUUUGAUAUAUCUUGUUACCAUAUAGUUUUAUUUACAUGGAAAAAAAAUUAGAAAUCCGGACAUUUGAGUCUCAAUAUAAGUUCUAAUGUUAUAUGUCACUCAUUUAUUGAAUGAUAAAAUUUGAGUAUGAAUGGAUGAUGAAAUUUAAGGCUUAUAAAAUUACUUAACCAUCAUCUAAUAAAUGAAUGCCACGUCAAUUAAAAUUAAAAUUGAAACCUAAACAUUGGGAUAACUAAUAUUGGUUUAUGGAUGAAACACAUAUGAAAAUGGAAUUUGGUAAUCGUUGAGGGACCCAAAAUUCUCUUUUUCCACGGAGAGGAGACGAGAGCAUAGCGUGUAUAAUUAAUUAAGGUUAAUUAUUACUUAUUAAGCAAGCAAAUUUGUUUCCCUUGAUGACUCGAUAAAUAAUUUGAUGAUUUAAUUGAUAGAUUAUGAUGGCCUGGAAUUUAAACAUACAGGAAAAUUAAAAAGUCAUGAUAAAAUCUAGGCUAUCUAGCUUUAAUAAAUUAUUGAUAAAACUUUACAUUCCAAUUGUAAUUGCAGCAGACAAGAAGCAAUCAACAUAAAUUAAAAUUAACUGAUCAGUCUUGUUGUUGACUGUUUAAUCGCAAGAUCGGAAAAAAAAAAUUAAAAAGAAAGACAAAAAUUAUGGGGUGUACGUAGUUGCAUGCUGGCUCCUUAAUUAAAUAUAAUUAAUUAAUUAAUUAACAUCAUAUCCUCUUGGUUGAAGUUUAUUAUUUAUUAAUUAAAUUAACUAAUUAAGAGGGAAAAGAAAAAGGAAAUUAAUCAAGUGAGUCGCUUCGACGAGGAGCAGUAGCAGUCGGUCUACUGAGACCGCGACCAUUGCAAUUGUAGUAGGAGCUACCAGGAGCAUCGCAGGGAACAGAGUUGCCUUCUAGGGCUCCAUAACUGCUGUACCACGUUCCCAGAAGCUGACGGCGGCUGUCCUCCGUUGGCAUCAACAUCUCAUUCGGAUCUUCAACACGGUUUAUGUUGUUGAUCCGUCCCCAGCUUGAGCUGCCGUGUGCACUGGAAUCCACCACUGCCGCCGCCACCAUGAACAGCAUCAUAACCACCUUUAAAUUCAUUCUUUCUUCCUUGUCGAUCUUUACUAUUAUAAAUAUGAUGUUGUUUCAUUUAACACACGUAGAAACAUGAAAUACGAUCCAUCACUCUUAAUGAUUCAGCUCGCCCUUCCUCUACUUUCCGGAUGAUUUUUGUGGUUCUUAAAUUUUUAGGUUUAACGUGAAUUAAGGGCAGUCGCAGUCCGUUUCUUUCUCCUUGUUUUUCUCUUUCAUUUUUUUUUUAAAUCCAUUUUGUUGGUUCUGUUUUUCCCAAUAUUAGUGUUCUAGAUUAUAGUGGUGCGCAGAUGACUGGAUCCCGCCCUGGUGAAAGACAAAUUGGUGCCCAAACAAGCCCAUAUAUUUUUUUUAUUUGACAGUGCAUAUUGACGUUUUUCUUUUCUUCUGUAAAAUAUUCAAAUUUUGUACAUAUUUAUCCAUCUAAAUAAAUUAAUGGAGUAGACCCUGACUUUUUCAUUUUAGAAAUCAUUUGGCGACAGCAAACUACAGUAAAUUUAUAAAAUAAUAUCUUCCCCACAAUUUUUCCAAGUUCGUGAAGUAAAGUUUUCUCGUACACUAUAUAUAUAAUGUGAAGUGGUUGACUGAUCGGCCCUUGGUGAAUGCAACAGCAAGUUCUCCCUUGUACCCCACCAUUAGAUAUUUUCAUUUCUUCUCUUUUUUUAAUUAUGUUUUCUUAAGUUAUAUAUAGUACAUUCAUAGAAUUAUAGCAUCAAUUGAAACAUAAAUUAAUUAUCUCAACUCAAAAAACAAAACAACAGUGACAUUUACAAGAAUAAAAUGAGUCUCAUUUAAUGAAUUUUUUGAAACAUAUUACAUUAAAAAUAAUACAAUCAAUUAACGAUAGUAUGAAAUAUGCAGUUGAAUUUAAUAUAACCAUCAUUUAGAUGAUAAUUUUUAAAAUAAAUACACACAUGAUAAGACAUCGUUGUAUGACAAGCAUAGUAUGUUUUAAUUUCAAAAAUUUCUCAUUCAUGACAACUUUAAUUUCUAGCUCUUCAAUUAAUUAAUGAAAAAUAAUAAUAAUCUUGCUCUUCAAACAUCGAAAAGUGUUGGGCACGAGGCCGAGGAAUGACCUAAUUGGCCGCAAUCUCCUCAUUCACAAAAAUUCUAAAAUACAUCAAAGGUAGUAUACCAAUUAUACAACAAGCAAAUGAUUUUAUAACCGUAUGUAUUUAUUUUAAAAAAUCAUCAUAUAAAUAAUGAUUAUAUUAAAUUUAAAUACACAUGUUAUACAUGCAUUGAUGAGUUGUAUUAUCUUCGAUGUAGUCUAGGAUUUCUCCUCAUUUUUUUACGAUUUUUCUUCAAUAAAAUCACUGUAAAUUGUAGGAAUUUUAUUUAAAAAUUUUUUUGCCUAAAAUCUCUUGUAAAAUUAUUAGAAAUGGAAGAACUAGGAGGCUGAAAUCCUCCUCAUCAAAGAGGGGGGAAAAAAAGAAGAAGGAAGAAGGUGAAAUCCUCGCUGGCUGAAUCCCACCGAAGUCAAGCAUGCAUGAUAUAGAGCAAUAAAUGAGCUUUGAAUACAGAUUGAAAUAUUUCAAAUCAGAAACCUAACAACAACUACGUAGACCCAUUUUCAUGCUCGCUUUAUUUGACUUGCUAUGCAUUAACUUGAUAAUUAUAUUGCUCAUUCUCCGUUUAGGGUGGUUCCUGAAGGCUAAUAAUAGAAUAAUUUAUGACAAGAUGGGUGCAAUUUGAGCUUUUAAAAUAUCCCAUCACCAUUAUCAUUUGCAUGAAAUGGUCUUCGUGAGGGACCCAAGAGUCGUGCAUUACACGACAUGCACUGUGGGAGAGCUUUUCUUUUUCCACGGAGACUGUGACUUCAGCUGAGAUUAAUGCUAAUAUAUGAGCAGUCUCGAAUCUCUUUUCGUGGGCUCGGUGAUCAACAAGAUUGACAGGCCGUUCAAGCUGCUGAUUGUAAUUGGUUUUACUAGAUGAUUUUAAAAGAUCAGUUUCUUCUUUAUUCAAUACGAGAUCUUAAUAGUAAUCCUUCCUUCAAAUUAAUGUUAUAUGCAUUAUUUAUUAUAUACAACAAAAUAAGGAUAUCAAAAGUGAGAAAGUUCAUGAAGAGAGAGACAUUGCUUUUGUGAUAUAUUUGAUAUCAUAAGCUUUUUGUUCAUAUCCGUUCAAUUAAAAGCACCAAUUAUAGUUGAUUUUGUACGCAUGUGAGAGUAACAAGACCCCCCAACCAACCCACAAAAACGAGCCACUUCGAUCAGUACACAUGUGCGGCUAGGCCCCCCUUAUUUUAUCCUUGUGGAAAUGCACCAAAUACCUUAUGCCCCAUCAUAUUAAAUUGCUCCAACAUCAAGAUCAAACCAAGACAAUCACUCAAUUUCAAAUAAUAGAAUAAUAAUUUUCAAUUUCAACUUAUAUUUUAAAAUAAAAAGAGAUAAACUUAACUAAUAAUAACAUCAUUUAAUGGCGUCAACGUUUUGUUUUAACAGGCAAAAGGAGAUGAAAGCUAUCUUAUUCCCUUAAUAUUUAACUUUAAAUGGGGUGUCUUUACAAACUUUAGAAUAUAUCAACCUGAUUAAAAGAUGGGCUUAGCUUAGACCACAAGUGAUCCGCUCCAGGCCUCCAACUUUCAGAAAAACAUAUAGGAUUUUGAGUGUGUGACGGCAGAUUACUUUAAUUUUAUUCCUCUCUUGUUGAUUUAUUGAAAAAAAAAACAUUUGAUGAAUAAUAUCGUCCAUUUUAUGAUGUACAAGUGAUAUAAUUUUAUGUAAGGAGUAGUAAAAUUCUGUAUUAAUCACAUAAUAGCAUGUGAUGGUAACAAUUCCAUAAUUUCUCGUCGGUCAAUCAAAUAUUAUCGUGCACCAGGGUUGCUCGUGAUUCAUGAACAAUGCAAUACCCGCUACAUCACUAUUUCUUCAAUUAUUAAGAAUUUUUAAGUUAUAUUUUAAUAAAAAAAAGAAAUUAAAAAAAAAAAUUUAUUGGGUUAGAUAAUAGAUAGUCUUUGCAAUUGAGUUUCAUCAUCAGCCACCUUUUACUUUGUCUGUUUCACAACUGAGCAAAGUACAGGUGGCCCGUGGUUUUUAAUUCUUCUUGCUGCUUCAAUUUUCUCCUCUCUCUCUCUGUCUUAUGUGUGUUUGGCUAGUUUGUUCUUUGUUUCUGCUCCGAACAUUUGCUGUAAGUUACUAACUUUGAUGAGGCUUUUUGUUCUUCCUGUUGUUCAAUGUUUGUAUCUGUGCAUGUGCUUCAGGUGUUCUGUUUCUUUCACGAAUUCUCUUUCUCUGAUCCGCGAAGACUGCAAAUUCUUAGCUUUUUGCUGCCUUUGUUGCUUAAUUUGAUAUGGGUUCUUUUCAAUGUUGCUUUUGGUGGGGUUAUUAAUUUGUUUUCUUCAACUUUCAUGGCUGACCUUCCGCCUUUGUGUGUCUGCAAAAUUCUCAACUUUCAGUUUAUGUGGGUUUCAAAUUUACUUGUUCUUGCUCAGGAAGGAUGUUAUUGUUUGUCUUAUGGAUUUGUCUUUGUUGGAUUUAUUUGUGGGUAGUAGAAAUAUGUUGUCUGUUCAGAUAAUUAUGAUCACACGAAGUUAAAAACUUGUUGGUAUGAGAAUGAGCAGUUAUUGCUUUAGAGCUUAUAUUGUUUGUUCCGAGUUUCUCUCAUUAACAUCCUUCAAUGAUCUUCUUCUUGGUGAAUUGUGUACUUCAGAAGGGUUAAGUUUCUUUCUUGUUUUAUUAUUAUUAUUAUUAUUAUUAUUUUUAAUAUAUCUUCUUAGUUGUUAAUUGGAAAAUUAUCCAGAAUUUUAAUUGAUCCUUAAAUUUUGGGAAAUGUUACAUUUUUGGAGUUGUUUGGUUAUGUUUGUGCAUAUUAACAAUGAUCGCCUGUAGAAUUAGGACCUUUUCUAAAGCUUUUGCUUAAGAUGCCCAAUUCACCCAAAAUAUUGGGAAUACAACUGGGUCUAUUUUUGUGUUUUGUGCUAAGAUGACAAGUUUAAUUGUUACUAUUGCAAUUGUUCUGAGGUACUCACAUCUUCCUAAAGAAUGGAUGGCAAUGUUUGAUGCCAUUGAUCAAAUUCACCUCCAUGUGAAGAAUUUUGGCAUACUUUUAAUCAGUUGGCUCUUUCAGAUGACCUUUUGUUUUCUUUGAACUGGAACUUUAAACGUACAACCAAAAAAAAGGACAAAGACAGGCUUAUUGUGCUUAUCAGAUUUUUUAGUCUUAAAUUUGUUUCCAGCCUUCAUUCUCUAAUGGUUUGCACCAUUAAUUGACAGGCUGAUGUGCUGUGAAUGUUCUCAUUCCGCUCUGAAAAGAAGAAAUAGCUCUUGAAGAAGUUCUCCAGUUGUAAUCAUGAGCAGCAAUUCACAUCUUCCCCUUAUAUAUAAGAAAGGAAAACCCAAUCUUCUAGUUGAGGUAAAAAAAGAUUUGGACUGUAGUUGCAUCUGAUCGUUUAUUUAUUUAUUUAUUUUAAUAUCUUCUUGCUUGAGUUUAUUCUUAACAAAUUUUAUUGGUUUUCAGGUUGCCAAUACAGAUAAACAGUUAGUUACGUUGAUCCAUUCCAAAGGAUUACUGUGCCCUGAAGUUCAAGAAUUGUACCACAGAGUCUGCUCAAGCUAUGAGAAAAUUCUUCUAAAUGAUUAUGAUCAGGCAGAGCUUCAAGAUGUUGAAUAUUCUUUGUGGAAGCUUCAGUAUAGGCACAUCGAUGAAUUUCGGAAAAGAAUAAAGAAAAGCUCUGUUUCAGAUAAUACAAUGACGCAAAGUGGUGCUAACGUGCAGAGAAGCAGUGACAAUCAUAUAGAAGGAUUCAAAUCUUUUUUGUCGGAAGCAAUGGCAUUUUAUCGUAAUCUGGUAGUUAAAAUUAAAAGAUAUUAUGGGCUUCCAGAAGAAUCUUCCUUCGCUAAGGAAGGUUAUAUGUCAACUACUCUUGAACCAAACAAAAAGCAGAAAUACCAGUUUUUAUGCCAUCGCUUUUUAGUUUGCCUUGGGGAUCUUGCUAGAUACAAAGAACAGUAUGAAAACUUUGGUGCUCAGGAACAUAACUGGUCAGUUGCAGUUUCCCACUACUUGGAAGCUACAAUGAUUUGGCCAGAUAGUGGAAACCCUCAGAACCAGGUAAUUUCAUUUUCUUUUCUGAACUUGGGAUCUAUAAUCCCUAUGUUGAACUUUGUUUCUUUACAAAAUGUAUGUAUGUAUGUAUGUAUGUUGUAUGUAUGUGUGUGUGUGUGUGUGUGUGUGUGUGUGUGUGUGUGUGUGUAAUUUCAAAUGCUUCUACUUCCGUUCUAUACAUGUAACCAUGUGUAUAUGUAGUUGGCAGUGUUGGCAACAUAUGUCGGUGAUGAGUUCCUUGCAUUGUAUCAUUGUGUACGGAGUUUAGCAGUUAAAGAACCUUUCCCUGAUGCCUGGAAUAACCUCAUUUUGCUUUUUGAAAGGGUACGAGUUGAGAUCCUUUCCCCAUUAUUACCAGAUUAAGUUUAGCAAAUUUUUAUCCUUCUUUAUUUUAAUUUCUGAUAUCCAGUUGUUCGCAUCUCUCAACGGUUCUUAUAAUAUUGCAGAACAGGUCAUCUGAUUUGCAUUCCCUUUCUAUGGAGGCCCACUUUGAUUUCUCAAAACCAUCUGAAAGAAGCAGCAAUCAGAUCAAAUCACAAUCAAGAGAUGGUUUUUCAAAUUGCAAUAUGUUGAAAGCUGAACAUGAUUGCUUUAAGGAAACAAAUUUAUGGUCACUUAUCAUCAGAACAAUAAGCUUCUUUUUCAUAAAAUCCAGGUAUUCCUUGUUGCACAUUUUCUUAUGAUCCAGUUGUGAAUUUGCUCAUGGGUGGUGAUUCGUGUAACAAGUUUUAUUUAUGUGUUCGCGCACGUGUGUGUAAAGGCUGUACAUUUCAUUUUCUGAUAUUGAUUGUUCUCCAUUCCCUUCCUGUGCUAGUUGCUUUAAGCCUUCACUGGAAUAUCUAUUUGGUUCCUUUAUCAAAAUUCAUGUUUUAUUAACUUAAAACACUUUAGCUGUCCACUAAUUUGAAUAUUAUGGAGAAAACCUAAACACAACCCAGCAUUAGAUUGUGGGUCGGGGUAUAUUCAUAUUUAGCUUAUUUCUUAUGUUUUCUGCACCUUUUGGAUGGGAGGCAGUUUGGAGGAUUUCCCUUACACUUUUGCUUCUACCAUGAGAGAGUUGGAUGCGGCAAUGGAAUUAGAUGAUGCAAAACUAAAAGCCAUGCUGGAAUCCUAUCAGCUUAUGGAUUCAGCUAGAACAGGCCCUUUCCGAGCACUUCAAGUUGUUUCUAUAUUCAUUUUUACCAUUGAGAAUCUGAUUAAUGCCCCAGAAAUAAAAGGAUCGAAAGACAAAAAUGAUAUGCAGCAGCUGGAGUUUAUACGGUGGGCAUUAUCUGCUACAUUCAUUUUCAUGGGACGCCUAGUUGAAAGGUGUUUGAAGUCAAAUAGCUUGGACUCUAGCCCUCUUUUAUCUUCUGUACUUGUUUUUGUGGAGUGGUUGGUGGGCAUACUUGAGCAAGCUGAAUCAUAUGCGUCAGAUGGUAAAAGUAGAAGUGCUAUGUCUUACUUUUUUGGUGCUUUUGUUGGCCUUUUGAAGCAGCUCAAUGCUAGGAGUGAGGUCUCAUCUCCCAAAAAGACUGCUCUGUGGGAAGACUAUGAGUUGAGGGGCUUUGCACCAGUAUUGUGUUCGCACCAGUCAUUAGAUUUCUCAGUGCAUUUUGGACAUAUAAAGAGUUUUGAAGCUGGCAUUGAAUGUCGUGCUGAUCGUGUCAUUAAUGCUGCAAUGAAGAUUGCAAACAGAUCAAAUGGUUCUCAAAAGUGGAUCAUCUAUGACAAAAUAGGAAUGAGAUUCUCUGUGGCAGUUUCAAAUGUGAAUGCAGACACAAGCAACUCAGAAUUUGAGUUGACCAAUGAUCUUAAAGUGAAAGAGGCCCAUCAGUCUAUAUCCAAGUCAACUGAGGAAUAUGAAAAACAGAUACUGGAAGAAAAUGAGACUAGCCCUUCUGUGCUAGGAGAAUCUGCUGCCAUGGAAGAGGAAGAAGUCAUUGUCUUCAAGCCUCUUACAAGAUAUAAUUCUGCACCACUCUAUGCUUCUGUUCAUACUAAGGACUCAGAAUCUCCAAAUGACACAGAGGAGCAAACAGUGCCACCUGAUGAAUGCUUACGCCGUGCCACCUCACUCCUUAUAGCACAAAACCAGUCACAGGAUGAUCCUUUGGGGUUCCAUUCUGACAUCACUAAUUUCAGGCCCAGCAAACCGUUUAAGCAGCAGGAGCCUCCUGUAAAGGAAACUGGAGCAUCCUCAUUUUCUCCAACUGCCAUAUCUGCUGGGCCUCCCUCUCUCAGUUCUUGGGUCUUCAAUAGAGGAAGUGGCAAUAAUGAUAGAGAAAAAGGGAGAAGUGACACGAGUAUACCUGGCUUGAGCCCCAUUGAGGAAAUAGCUUCUGCAUCCUUAUCUGGUCUCACCAUUGGUCAAACUAAGGAUUCUGUUAUAAGUUCUGGGCAAACUUAUGCGAGCAGCAAUUACAGUUCUCCAUAUUCAGCUCCAGUGCCUUCUGCUCCUUUAUUGCCUGAGAAUGCUUCUUGGUUUAAUGAUGUGCAACCCAGUUCAUAUGAAUUCAAGAACUUGGAGGGCAUCAACCGAACAAAUAACUUGUCUGAUGCAUCAGCGUUGAGUAGUUAUCCAAAUUUGAACUCUACUCAUGAUCAUUAUAAUUAUGAUUAUGCUGUUCCAGGUUUCAUGAAUGGAUACCCACCAUUCCGUGGAAUGACUUCUUCUGAAUGGCUUCGCCAGUACAGAGAAAACCACAAUCUUGACUGGACCAAUAGCUAUUCAUGGCCCCUUCAUCACUACGCUCCCAGGAACUCAGGCAACUUCCAUAAUCAAGAUGCUUCCAUGCUCAAUCUUCGUGAUCAUUGGCAAGUUCCGCUGGCUUCAAACCAAAUGAUUUAUCCUGAGAGCCAAUUGUUGCAUCCGGGUUUUCCCCAAGUUCAUGCAGCAGAUGAACACAGAAGAGAUAAACUAUUUCCCGAUUACCAGAGGCCAACCGCUUAUGGCUGCGGCGUCGCAACAGACUUUAGAGAUGAGCCACAGCCUCUUUUGCAGUAUCUUAAAGAGAAAGAAUGGCUGUUGCAGCGGGAUCCAACAGGGAGAGGUCCUUAUAUGGGAAACUGAAAUGUUCAUACAUCAUUAACUUGUUGAUACAAGCACGCAACACGACUGAUACCAUUCUCGUAGACCUGAGAUUGAAUUUGAUGAAAGUUAACCAAGUAUGUAUUAUGAUUGUAUAUGUCAAUAUGCACGUCCCAGUGUGAUAUCUGAAAUGGGUGUUCAAGGAAAGUUUUAUAGAGAAAAUCUAGCUGAAGCUGUCCACAGAUGUUGUAUGUUUGUUUAAUAAUGAUGUUAACACUCUUACUGAUCAAAUUUUUUAUUUUGCUCUAUCCUUCAAUAUCAUAAUUGACAUCGACUGAUGAACAUGCACAACUGAAAUUCCACCGGAUUUGUGUGUGGUUGCUUUCUACCUCAUCCUGACAACGCUCAUACUACAGGACCCCUCCCCUGCCUCACAGAUAGAUAGAAGAACGUCGGUAAUAAGACUAUGCUAGAAAGGACAAAUGCAGGUAGCAAAAAUUUAACCAAAAAAUUACCUAAUUUUACAUAAAAUUGAAUCUGAAUUUGAUCUGAGAUUAGAUUAUUUAUCCAGUGCAAACUGGUUUGCAAUUACGGUAUAAGAAAACGAGGAAUGCUAAUCCUGACUCUUUAAGUUUUGUCUUAUUUUAUUUAUUCUUUGACAUUAUGAUUAAGUACGGAUAAGUGGAUAACAAAUUUAUUUAUUCGGGUGAUACCUCUUUUAUCCUUAUAAUAAUAAUAAUAAUUAAUGGAGUUUACUACUUUACACUUAUCGUAAGAUACAAUUUUCUCACAACUGCGCCGUGAGACUUACGACUGAUUAUUAUUUUUAUGAAAGGGCUCUACCACAGCACAAUUGUGAGAGAAUUGUACCUUAGGAUAACAGUAAGGCAGCCACUCCCUUAAUGAACACACACAGUCUAAUUAUUCACAAUUUAUCGAUAUAUAAUUAAUUUUUUAAAAAAAUAAAAAACCAAAUAUAAACUUGCAUCAUCGCAUGGUAUGCUAUGUCGGACAGUUUGCCGAAAGAAGACCAAUAAAGACAUAAUUGGGCCUGCAAUGCAAAACGGUUGAGCCCAAAUUAACAUCGGAUCUUUCUUACUCUCUCUGCUUCUCCGUCGCCUCAAAGUGCAAGCGCGAAAAAGUGGGUGGAAGUGGAGCUUGCGUUGCGUAGAUCUGAACUUAUUUAUUUUUGGUAAGGAGGUUUAAUACUUAAUUUUUAUAUAAGAACAGAAUUUAUUUCUAAGUCUUUUUUAUUUUCAGUUUUAGGUCAAGCCAACUUUGACUAGAAUCCCGUUACCGUGAUCUAUCGACUGCAUUUAAUUAAUUUAAAAAGAAGAAGAAGAAGAAGAAGAAAGCUCAGGCGAAAGAUGGAAACCCAUAAAGGCAAAGCAGAUGUAUCCUCGGCAGAAGCUGUCUUCCUUGGAGCUCUGGCACCUGGUGUUAAUGUCCGUAUUAUUCUUAAUAUUAGUUUCUUCUCCGAAAGCUAUAUUACUGAUAUUUUUGUUUUUUCCAUCUGAUGCUGAUCUAAUGAGUCAACAUUGGGUUUUUUUGUUUUCAGGGUCCCACAUGGACAACGCUAAAAUCGGCGUUUGUGAUGCUGGGUGUGUGUCUUGCUGUUAUGUUUGGAUUAGCAUUCUCUUCAAGCGACUCUUCACUGAUUCUUCAUGUUGGGUUUUUGCUCCUAAUUGCUCUCACCCUCUUUUUUCUUCUUAGCUGGUAUUCUUCUUAUUUUCUACUCACUCUCUCUAUUUUCUCAACUGUUUAUUUUAUUUUUAUAUUUUUAGGCAUGCCUUGUUAACAACUUUCUCGGGUGGUAUGUUUGUUGUUAUUGCUUCAACUUCUUUGAGUUUGCUAUUAUGUACAGUACAUAAUAGCAUUAGCUUUUGUUGAUUACUAUUAUCAGGAUUUGUAGUAAUAGGCUGCAGAAGCAUACACCGGAACUUUUUUUUAGGAAAUUGAGAUUCCUCCAAGUUCACUCUUAAGUAAUUUGUCAAGCUAUAAAUUAAUAGACAAAUUAAAUAGAGAAUACACUAAUCAGACAACACAAGAUUUAUGUGAAAAAAUUCAACUCCUGAUAAAGACACGGCCGUUAUCAAAAGACAACAAGAGAAAAAAUAAUCAUUAUGUAAAAAAUUAUUACAACCACAUUCUUAUAAAUAAUUUUCUUUCACCCAAACCCAAAGUACAUGAUCCCAAGAAAUAUUCCUUGACAAAGUAAACCCGUAAUACCCACAUUGAGGAGCCAAAUGCUCCUAUAAUAUAUCUACAUGCUUGAGAAUAUAUAUAUAUUUUUUUUCCAUUUUGAAAGCCCGAAUACUUCCCUUGCAUUCACCGAUUGAAUGCUUUCAAUUUUUGGGAUAAAAUGCUCUUCUUUCUCUCUUCCUUUUAUAGGCAAAACUUUCCUACAAUCAAGGCAAGUGGCUGAAAUGUUUGAAACAUUUCAGCCACUUUUCAAAGUUUUCAAAGGCACCGAAAUCGGCGGCUGCCUUUCGUGACUUUUACCACCGUUAGGAAAUUGAGAUUCCUCCUAGAAUCAUCCCAAGCAAUUUGUCAAGAAACAAAUUAAUAGAAAAAUUAAAUGGAGAACAAUAUCAAUCUCACAACACAAAAUUUACGUGGAAACUCCAAUUCCGGAGAAAAACCACGAUUGUUGUCAAAAGACAAUAUGAGAAAAAUAUUCACUAUCUGGAAAAUUAUUAUAACUACGCUUUCAGAAAUAAUUUUCUCUCACGCAAACCCCAAAUACAUGAUCCUGAGAAAUAUUCCUUGACAAAACAAACCCGCGAUAUACAUAUUGAGGGGCCAAAUACUCCUACAAUAUAUCUAUAUACUUAAGAAUAUUUCUCUCCAUUUUGAAAGCCGGAAUGUUUCUCUUGCAUUCACCAAUUGAAUGCUUUGAAUUUGAAAUGACAAGCUCUCAAAUGAGAACUUUUUUGGUAGGCAAAAUUUGCCUAAAAAAUUAAGCCAAGUGGCUGAAAUGUUCAAAUAUUUCAGCUAUUUUUCAAGAUUCAAAAGAGACAGCCACCAAAUUCGGUGGCUGUCAUUCUUGACAUUUUUUUCAAUAUUUUCUUUAACAAUCUCCACUAUGAUUUAAAAAAAAAAAAAUUACUGCCACUACUGCUAUCACCGAUGAUCAUAAUUUUCAAUAUAGAGAAUUAUCGUACUCCACUAUAAAAGAUAUACUCACUUAGAAUUAAUUAUUAAUUCCAAGAGUUUUACAUCGGCGCAUGUAGUGGUAGUUAUGUUUUUCUUUUUUAAUCACGGUGGAGAUUGUUGAAAAAAUUGAGUUAAAAAAAGGUCAAGAAUAGCAGCCACCGAAUUCGGUGGCUACCUCUUUUGAAUCUUGGAAAGUUUAGGUAAAUUUUAUGUAUAAAACAAGCUCUCAUUUGGUGAAUCCUUGAGAAGCAUUCGAAAUCUAGAGAACUGAGUAAUUUAAUGCAAGUUAAACAUUAAGUGAGUAAUAGGAAUUUACAUAGUGAAUAUUUUUCUCUGGUUGUCUUUUGACAACAACCAUGGUUUUUCUUCGGAUUUAGAGUUUUCCACGUAAAUCUUGUGUUGUGAGAUUGAUAUUGUUUUACAUUUGAUUUUUCUAUUUAUUUGUUGCUUGACAAAUUACUUGGAGUGAUCUUGGAAGGAAUAUCAAUUUCCUAGCAGUUCAAUUUUCAACACCUUUAGGGGCAAUUGUGCGAAGAGUGGGAACUUUCAUUCUAAAAGAUUGCAAGCUCCCACUUGUAAGCUUGUGGGCAUAAUGCAUUUCUGCAUCUAGAGUCUUUUGUGCAUGAAGCAUUUAAGGAUUGAAGGUUCAUCAGUGUCAGUUAACAUGCAAAUGAUUUAUGAUUUAUAAGUGCAAUAUCUUUCAGAAUUUGUGCACUUGCAUGUGCUUGUUGGAAGCAAGUGAAUGCUCUUUGUUCUUUUGUGAGGUUGCUGCUUCACAAAUAUAUGCUUUGCUUUUUUAUCCUUCAUUUUUUAUAGGCUUUUUUUUUUUCCUUUCUUUUGGUGCCACUGACUAUUAUGUGGAAGCUCUUGGAACUUGGAAGUGUCAUGACAAACAAAUCAUGUUUUCAGAGGAACAUGUCAAAGCGCUACCCACAGCCACUGUGCUGUCUAGGAAAAUUUAUGAGGUUGCUUUCUAGAAAUAAUUCAAAAUUUUACUCUCUAUUUUUCAUUCUGUGCUUAUUUUAAGUAUGAAUUUGGUUCUUGUUGAAGAGUUAUUUUUCAAAUAUGCUGAUUUCUCUUGGCAUGCUACUAAUUAUGUGGCCAUUUUCCUUGAGACUAUUAUGCAUAAAGUUUGGAGAAUCUCUUACAUGACUGGCUGUUGGAAGACUGAAAACAAAAAUCCAAAAAUAUUCUCUUAUGUUUUGGAAUUGCACUUUAAAAACGCAUUUUGCUAUCCUGUGCUGUCAAUUCUAUGUAACCGCAUGGUGUUGUAAAUCAAGUUUGACACAAAAACUGUCAUUAGCUGGUUGUCCAUUCCAGCUUAAAACAUUCAUAACCUUAUCUCUCUCGAUUUUUUAGCAUCAAUUUACAUAUUUCUUUUUGCAGCUUAACAGUUCAUACCUGCAGGAAUCCUGAGUCAUUGUAGCCUUAUGCCUUUAGGUGUAAUGUUGUCUAGUCAAUGAUUAUAUGCUGCUAGAUCCUGGGGCAUAGAUUCUUUUGACUUAUGCAUGAUGAUUGCUGGAGCAGUUAUAUGGCUGAUGGGUAAUUAGAAUUGAGUUCUUUGCUUGUGUAUAUAUGGGGUUUCUCUGUUCUUGUAAUUGUUGGUUUCUUGAUAUCAGGUUAGUUUAAUAUGUAGAUUAUGACAUAAUCUGAUAUCAGGAUGCUAAAGAAAUGAUUUAUUAGCAAGGAAAACUGAAUACUCAGAUUUUAUUCCAGUGAAUUCCAGCACUGCUAUUAUUUAUGUGCAGCUGUGUAAAAUAUAUUAAAAAAAAAAAGAUAAAAUGGGAAAGAACCUUGGUCAUUCUAAUAUUCUGCUAUGCUGUUUGUGCCUUCUAGAUGCAUGUGGAUUUUAUAUAUUCUUUUUUUUUUUUUUGAGACCAUUUGGAUGAGCAUACUGAUAUCUCAAAUCAUGACUUGUUGAAAUUUCCUCAGGUUUCUUGCGCAGACUGGUCUGGUUUCAGUUGAACAUCAAAUGCAGGAGAUGAACUUGAUGCCAAAUGAUCAUCAGAGAAGCAAUAAAGGGGAAUAAUUUUGCUCAGAAUAUUUCUAUAGCAUUUCAAAUGAAGACAUCAGUAACAAAGGGCACACAAACAGUUUAAAUGAAAAGAUAGAGACAAACAUUUUCUGAUGCAUUCAUCUUGAAAGAAAUGAGAAGAAGAGGUUGAAAGGAAAGAAGUGAAUCCGGGCGGUUUGUGCUUACUUUUUGAGGAUAAUCACGGUGCAUGUAACUAACUGAUUGUGUUAGUCAUGCUUUGCUUCUUUCUCCUUGUGGUUGUGCUUGUCCUUUUUGCCCUUGAUGAAGCAGAAGCACGAGCAGCAAGGCAGCUGAAGAAGGAACUUCAUAUCUUUGGUAUCACUGAUUAUUUCAAUUGUUUCGAAAACCAACAAGUAUAUAAACUGUAAAGCUUCAGCAAUAGUAUUCUUAUUCCUUGUUAACUUUAUUCACUCAUGUUCCCGGAUGCCAUUCCCAUCUCUUACAGAUAACAAGAUGCCUAACUUCUUUAUUUCCGUAUUCCUGGCCAUUGGCUCUCUCCUAUGCUUAAAUUUGAGGGUCAUGUUGACAUUUGCAGUUAUUUUUCUGAGAAAAAAGAAAAGAAAAAGAAAAAGAAAAAGAAGCUGCUUUAAUGUUUGUCUUCUUCGUGAAAAAGCUUCAUGAUAAAGAAGUUACGAGGCUAUAUUCCAAUUUCCAAAGGAAGCCACGAAUAAAGUGACUUGAAAAAACCGUUUGUUCUCCUGGAAGGGCUAUCGAAAAAUGGAUUAACAGUGGGAUGAAAGUUUGUGAACUCAUCGAAAUCAACCAACUAACAAGAAGCCCGCCGUAGAGAUUCAUUUUAAAAUUAAUUAAUUACGAUUGUAAUUAGAGUAAACGGGAUAAUAUUUUUAUUGGGGUGAUUUCACGGGCCAAUUUUUUCUUUAAUUUAUCAUAUACAUCCGAACGUACACAUAAACAAAAACAAAUGAACGAAUAAAUGCUUCUAUCAUUUUAAUGAUAGCGUUGUACUAAAUGCCCAUUCGUAGCGCAUUUAUAUUAUAAUUAGGUGUUAAUUACGCGUUGAGCUGGCCAAAUCUGCCCACGAAAGAUGACAAAUACUUGCCAUGUAUGAUUUUUUAUUACCAUUUUUACACAGAAUGAACAGUCAUUGUAGAUAAUUAUUGACAAUCUAGAACCCAAAAAAAAGAGAAAAAAAAAAGAAAAAGAAAAUCUAACUUUCGGUGAAGGUUAUUGGUUAAAAUAUCAUUAAGAUUAAUUCGGCCCACAAAAAAAAAAUUGGUAUAUUCAAAGAAAAAAAAUCAAAAUUAUUGUUUUUCAAAGAAAAAAUUAUUGAUUAUCACAAAUAUAUGAAGGAUAAAACUGUGGUACAACUGUGGUACCGUGCCACAGUUGCACCCAAUCGUUAGAUUCCCACUUAUUUAAGUGGACCUCACUUAUUUAAGUAGAUCUAACGACUGGUACAACUGUAAUAUGAUACCACAAUUAUACUGUAGCCUGACCCAUAUAUGAAAGUCUAUUUCCUUUUAUUAGAAUUUAGAAGCAAGAAAGUUGUGGGGCCUGGGCCGAAUUAUUUUGAUCAAUAAAGAAAUUCGAAAAUAAUAAUAAUAAUAAUGAAAAAGAAAAAAAGAAAAAAAGAAAAAGAAAAAGAAAGAUAGGCGCAUCGGCCGUACAUAUGCAAAAGAAAGAAAGCGCUCUUUUCGUUGGCCUACUAUGUGUACUCCCCUUUUUGUUUCUUUUAUCACCAGAAAAUUAAAAAGCCAAUUAUUUGACCCUUUUCUCUGUUAAUUUCUGCCUUUUUGCAUGGCAAUGUCACUUGCUACUUAGCUAGUUCAGGCACCGCCCCCUGUCUCUUUCUUUAUAUUCAGUUUCUUCAUAUUGAUGUUAAAUCUCAAGAUUCACUGCAGGAAUUAAUAAUCUUUUAUCUGUUUUUGGUCACCACUUGAAUCCUUGUGUAUGUUUUAUAUAUGUGUACAAACGGUAGAAGUUGUUUCUUUGAGAUUUUUCUUCUGAUCGUUUUUCUUUUCCCGUUUGGUUUUGUCUAGUGAAGGUGAUCAUGGCUUCAAAUAGCGGUUUUGAUGCCCAAAGGAUGUUAGUUUUCUAGCUCCAAUGGUGUCUUGGCUUUGUGUGAUGGCGGCCGGGAUCUUCUUGUUUUCUUUUUCUUGUUCUUCCUAUUGUUGCUUGUCAUGUUUCUUUUAUUUACUGCUUGAUUUUGGUUUAUGAUUGGAGGUUACAGGCUUGAACUCUACUUGCACGAUUAUUUUGUGAAGCAUAACAUGCAUGAGACUGCUGAGACUUUCAGAAAAGAGGUCAAUGUCGAAGCCAGCCAUUCUGUUGGUACAUGUCCUUGUUCAAAUUUUCUUUUUUCCUUGUAAGAAUUUGGUGUGCUUUUAUGAAUUUACUGAUUUAAUUUGUAAUCAAGAUGCACUCUUACUGCUGAUCAUGUCAAAUUUUGUUUGAGCGUGUGGGCCCCUUUUUAAUAGGGUUAUUGUUCGCUUUGUUUCUGUGCUGUUACCACUUUUUCUUUCCUUGCUUUUAUAUUUUGUCUUUCUUUAGGAGUGUAGGAAAAUUGGUUAUCUUAUGUACACAGUCUAAGAAUUGAUUCAACUUUCGCUUUGAUAUGGUUUUUGUUGAUGUAGUUCUCAUUUUAAUUGAUGGAGGGCUUAUAUUGCUCAAUAUUUGUAAUCUAUUGGAUCUGUUGGAACAUUCAUGGUCAUGUUGAUUUUCACCUUAUUUUCAUUAACAUUGUGAUUGUUGACUGGAAGUUGCGGGAUGUUGUUUCAGCUAUUGAUGUUCCUGAUGGGUUCUUACAUGAAUGGUGGUGCAUAUUUUAUGACUUUGCUGCUCAGCUAAAGCAUCAGGAAUCCAAUACUGAGACUUCUUCUGAGGUGAUACUUUGUUUACUUGAAGUCCUGUUGUUUUGUUUUGUGACUGUAAGAAUGUGGAUUCUAUGGGUUCUAUUUUUAAUUUCCAGGUUACAUAUAUGACUGAGAAUCAACCACUUCAUCCCAUGGUGCCACAGUUAGCAUUGGAUCAGCAAAGGCCUAGACAGUUUCCAAGGAGUGCUGACCUUGAUUCGAUGAUUGGGGAACCAUCUCUGUUGGCUGCAAAAUUUCAAGAGGAAGAGCAAUUUAGGCGCUCUAUGUGAGAUUACAAUUCCAAUUAUGGUUUCUCAAAGCUAAUAAUAUGAAUCUUUUAAUACAUUGCCCUUCCCCAAUUUACAAUUUAUUUGGCUUUUCAGAUCCCUUGUGUUUAUGAAUGUCUGAUCUUUGAGAAAUGUUUGAGAUACAAAAGAGUGACUGAAUGAGAGAGUAAAAUUUGUGCUUGCCUAUACAAAUUUGAAAUGAGGAACCUAAGAAGUUUUUAUCUUAUGUUUAGAAGAUUGCAUGCGUGAACAUAACGCAUUUAGUUGGAUUUUUCAUAAUUAAAAAUGUUCUUCUUUUCUUGUUUGACAUUCUUUUAUGUAUUUCAGCCAUCUGCAGCAGCAAAUUCAUAGUCAGUCUCAGCUUGUGCGAGUAUGGUCUGGUCUAUCCUAUUUACUUCAUUAAUAGGAUUUCAAUUGCUAAAAUUUAUUCAAAGGUUACAAAUUUUACCGAUGAUGCAGGAUAAUUUACGAGGCUUUGACUUUGGGAGGACUACACUGAUGGAUCCUGCCCUCUAUGGUGCACAAAUUCCCGUACCUGCAGCACCUGGACUUCAUGGGGCAGGUUAUUUGACAUCAUACAAUUUAAUGUUUUUGUUUGUUCUCUGGAUAAUUUUGGAAUGAAACUUAGUUUUGCCUUUGAUUUACUUUUACUCUGUUCUUAGAACUACAAAAUCAACUGAAUAAAGAGAUAUGUUCAGUAUAUUUAUCAGGCUAUAUUCUGUCAAGAUAGGAAAGAGUUGAACACAUCAUAUGAUGUCUUGUUUUUUGUUUUGGUUUUCAUUUUCUUUUCUCCCUUCUGAGUAACUGCUUCCUUUGUUCUUUAAUGUGGUAAUUUUCUGUUUUACAUAUCUAAUGCCUAAUUUCUGUCUAUUGCAGGCCUGAACAGAGAUGUCAAUCCAAUGCCGUCGAAUAUAUGGCCAUUGGAUGUAAGAGGCUUAAUAAUUUACUUGCUGAACUCGUUUGGCAGCUAUUUUAGGUUCUUUCUAAGUGUAAAUUUAGAACUAGCAAAUCAUCAACGAAAGUGCUUAUUUUAGCAGGAUUAAAAAUUUAGCCAGUAGUUGGUCUUCAUCUUGGUUUGGGAAAUAAGCCCUUACACAUUUUUUCAGGCACCAAAAAAUCAAAGGCAGUUUCAAACAUCGACCAUGAACCAUCAACAACAGAUCUUGGCUCCAACACAGUCAUUGACAUUGGGGAACCUGACACCCAGUUUUCCUGGAAGCUCUGCCGGUUUUGCUCGUCACAAGCUGAUGGUUCCCAAGAUGGAUUUAAGGGGGAAAAACGCACAGGUAAGCAGAAAACAGUAAUAUUUUUGUGUGCAUGGGUAUGAACUUUGUCAAUCCUCUUGAGUUUAAUAUUGAUAUAUGUGUGUGUGUGUGUGUGUGUAUUUUACCUGUACUUUUAUGUCCAUCUAUCGUUUAUAUAUUCUCCAUAACAGCAUUGCUUCCCUUUUCAUAAGCUUUGACAUCCAGUUUUCCUACACACGAAUAUUUGGUGUCUGCACACCUGCAUGAAACUGCACAGUAACAUGUGCAAUCAUGAAUCAUGCAGGUUUCAUGUCUCCCUAAUGUCAGACUUCCUAUUGGAUAUCAUAAUUAUCUCUUUAUUGCAUACUCAUUAAACUUGUUAUGCUCAUUUUCUGACUAGAGGUUUGUUUGGUGUUCUUAUUCUAGAUGGCUGUCCAAAUGAGACAAACUGCACAGCACCAACUUCACGGUAAGCAGCCUCAGCACCAGCAGUUAGAAGAGGUUGGUCAGACAUAGCACUGAAUUGUUAAUUUGCUUUGAUACUUGGGCGGGAGAGGCCCAACUUAUGUGAUUUUAUUUUCCCCCUAUAUACAUUUUCUGACAUUAAGUAAUCUUGACCAGAAAGGCAGAAGAAGGAAUAAAUCGUCACUUUCAAGAGCUAAAGACAAGAGUAAGGUAGGUAACUUGCCCCAGGGAAAAAAUGUAAUGACCCUUUUUUCCAAUGGCUAAUUUUAAAAACUAUUUGUUUUGCUUCAUCUGAUGGUUGCUUUUUCAUGGUUUCUUUUACUGUAGGAUGAUCGGAAAGCAGAAGGCAGUAAACCUGUGAAUGAAAACGUUGAAUCAGUUUCAUCCCAUGAUACUACUGUUGAUUCAAGCACUGCCGCUAGCAACAAAAAUAAGCCCAGAGGUUCUUCUUUUUCCAAAGUCAAUUUCAAUGUUGAUAUUGCAUCGCUUUAUGCAGUGUUCCUCUCUGGUGGAAACUAAUUUACGAAUUUCAAUGCAGCCCCUUGAGGUGUGGAAUCCAAUUGAACGCUGUAGAAUGCAGACAGGUGAUGCAAACAUUCAUGAUUCAUCAUUGGCAGAUACAUUUCAUGGGUUGUAUAGAGGCACUAAUCCUGCGGAAGUUUGACCAUCAGUCAAUAAGUUCCAUGGCUGAAUACACUUUUUGUUGUAGAUACUACAGGGAGACACAGAGACUGUUCCUAUAUCUUUUGUAAAGGUAUAGACAUAAAUAAUUACAAUCAAAGUGUUGAUAGCAUUCAAAUUUAUUUGCCAUAUAAAAUGCUGUUUCCCAUUUGCCUUUUGUCCAUAUUGUUGAACUUGGCUCUGUUUUUGACUCUAUAUUGUUCAUUUCUUCUUCUAUAGUUUUGCACCGUCCCCGUAAAUAUUAUUCAAUCGAUCUAGAGAUACAAAUUUAUGUUUGUUGUGAGGUAUUCGAUGCAGAAUAUUACGCAGGGAUGUAAUUAAUAUUAAUUUACACACUAAAAAAGUGUCAUGCUUGCUAAUUGAAUCUAAAUCUUACCAGUUACCAUCUCUAAUUUCAUAUUCAGAAAAAAAAAUGAAGCAUAUUUAUUUUAGGACACAGAAUGUAUAAAGAACACCGUUUUUCAUCUCAGUAAGAAGAUACGGAUUAACACCAAAAGUAAAUUAAAAUAAAAUCAUGACUAGAAAGAAAAUUUUAACUUGCAACUUAAAAGUAGUACCAACUGGAAACAAAUUGGAUAAAACUAGAAGACCAGCUUGAGCCACAAAAUCAAGAGAGAUGUCUGAUGUUUGUAUUUGGGGUUGCAUUACAUAAACCAUUUUACAGAAUCUACACUACAGGGCAAAGAACUCAAGCCACUUCUAGAGCCAUCACUUCCAUAAUUCUUCCAUUGGGAUCCCGCGUUCACGAGAAACUUCACGCCACUGCUUCAUUUUCUGCACUGCAACAACCGUUGCUCUAGCAUUGUUGAGGGCAUUGUUACUCCCAAGUUGCUUCCCCAAAGCAUUCUCAACACCUGCCAUUUCGAGAACAAUUCUAACAGCACCUCCAGCAAUCACUCCAGUACCAGGAGCAGCAGGUCUGAGCAUCACCUUAGCCGCCCCAAAAUCACCAUCAGAUCUAUCAUUUAUUUGUUCAACAGAAUCAGUAAGUGCAUAGGAAGAUAAAUACAUCAGCAUUCAAAUAUGUUGCAUAAAAAUCAUGCCCUCAGCGAUAUGUAAAGUUUAAGGGUAGAUAUGCAAAUCAAGAAGCAAGAUCAUAAAGGGAAUGCAUUUGGAAUCUGGAUAGCAUGCUUUUGCACACAUAUGGUAGGAUUAUUAUUAUCCACAUAUAUUUCAAUCUGGAGGUAAAGUCUGUAACUCAGGUUACAACGAACAUCUUUUCUAUAUUUCUAUCACACUGGCGUUUCUAUCAUUUGUUUAAAGGAAUAGCAAAGGCAUAUAUUUGGGUAGUUUCAAUGAAAAAUGAACCAUUUAAAACAAAUUUAGAAACAAUUUACUCAUUCCGACAGUUUCUGUCAGGUUUCAAAACAUUCACUCAGUCACGAUCAAACUGAAUUAAUCUACAUUGUAAAUCUAUGUACGCUAUAAGCAAUUAAGCAUAAAUUCAUCAAAAUCACCAUAGUUAGACCACAGCUUUAUGACUCUCACAUAAAACUUUUACACAAACAAAAAUGACAAAAUAUCAACUUGCACUAUAUGUAUGCAAUGUUCGACAUCCACCUUGAGUUUUUUAAUUAGGCCUUAGCAAAAAAGUUUCUAGAAAAAAAAAUAUAUAAAACUCUUUAUACGGAAACUACAUUCUGUCCCAAACCACAGGUUCCCCAAAAUUAAGCACCCUCCAAACAACAGAUUCAAAAUCAAUCCAGUCUCCACACAAAACAAUUCUACAACAUUCUGUCUGAAACAAACAAUUCCACAGAAUAUAGCAAACUUAACAAUCACAUCAGUAAUCUCGACUUCCCACAUUUCACGUUCUCAUUAUCACACACAUCCAUACUCAAACCAGAAAAGUGAAACCAAAAAAAUUGGGAAAAAAAAAAAGAAAAGAAAGAAAGAUUGAUUUACUUUACCUGUGUGGGAAAGUCAAGUACUUAGUCAUAGGGACAGUAACAAUAUUCCUCCUAGCAUCAACGGCGGAUUUCUGUACGGCAGCAAUAACUUCUUUAGCUUUGGCAACGCCAACACCAACUUGGCCUUUCUUAUCACCAACCACAACAAUAGCUCUAAACUUCAACUGCUUCCCUCCUUUGACCACCUUCGUCACUCUUCUGACUUGAACCACUCUUUCUUCAAACCCAUCCUUCACUUUCUCCUUCUUCGUUUUCCCAAAAGCACUCGUCUUUUUCGCCUUCGAGUCCAUCACAUAAACAUCAUUUCCCAAGACGCUGACUCCCGCGUACGCGGGUCCGUACAAUUCUUCGUAAGCAGCGGCAAUUUCGUCCUCGGUUUCCAUUGGGAGCUCGUCGAAGGAGGGCGGGGGAGUGUAAUCCUCCGGGGGCGUCGGUGGGUCGAAAACGGCGGCGUCUUCAUCUGGGUUGUUGAAGUCGUCGAAAACGAUGCCGUUUGGUUUGUCGGAUUCGGAGGCUCUGACGAGGACGGUCGAGAGGGUGAGUUUUGGGAGCCUGGUGAGUUUUGCAGUGGAGAGGAAUGAGAGGCGGGGAGUCGAGUGAAGAGAUAGAGACAAAGACAAUGACGAGAGAGAAAGGGUUGCUCUUGUUGCUGAUGCUGUUGUUGCCAUUGGUGAUGUGUAUGUAACGCUGCGUUUGGGGGAGAGUGGAGAAGAAAGGAAGAUCAGUUCAGUCUCUUGGGAGCUUUGCUUAUCCCCCUCCUACGACGAAAUGGGCAAAAAGCCAAAAGCAAGCUCAGAGGAGGACUAUGUUGUAAUUUUCAUUUUCCUUUUUUAUUUUUUAUUUUUAUUUUGGGGUUUAAGAUGGUGUUGGAUGGAAGUCAAAUGUGUGAAAGCCAAUCGCUACGAAUUGGACUUUUGCACUUUUAAAAGCCCAUUGUCUGGCCCCUUUCAAUUGUCAGAACGCACGAAGAAAAGCCCACCAGGUAUCCCCAAAAUGCAAAUUCUGUAUGCAAUUCCUCCGCAUUUGCUGGCCUGCACGGGGCGAUCCUUCUUGUUAAGCAUUUUCUCACUAUCUUGCAUUCUUCUUACAAUGCUUCAAAGGUGGACCAUAAUAUUCAAUAUUAAAGCUUGAGGAAGCUAGUUAGUCAAACAACUCCAGAAGCUAGCUGCAAUUGAGAUUUGGCAGAAGAACUAGCAGAAGAAGAUCGCGUUCUGAUUGCUUUGUUGAGAGAAGAGGUACUUUUCAUUCCCGCUUAUGCUAACAAUUAAUACUCCACAAUACAUUGUAGUAAGAGUGGCCUUAUAAUUAUUUAUUUUAUCGAUUCUACUUUUGGAAAAGCCAUCUAACGUGAAGUCAAGCCAAUUAGAGAUUUCACACAACAGAAUACAUACUUCUAUUUUAUGUGUUAAUAACUAAUGCUAAAACAAACCACUCAGUUAAAAAUGUCGAGUGCCUAGAACUACUCUUUCACAAUUGUGAGGGUAGUUUCAAAAUCCCACAAAAAUAUUAUAAGAAUUUAAUUCUUUUUUUAAAUUUGAGUGAAAAUAAUUUUCUCCCUUUCGAAAAUAUGAGUAGAGUAUAUGCCUUUUAAAUAUUAGAAACGGUUAAAAUUUGGACAGUACUAUUUAAGAUUUAAUGUACACUACUCUCAAUAAUUAUUUAAUUAUAAAUAUAAAUUAUAAUCUCAUAUAAUAUGGGUUGUAAUUUGAACAAUAAUCUCAUGUAAUUAUAAAAAAAAAAAAAAAACUAAUGCUAAGAUUACAAAAUAACAAUAUGCUUAUAAAUCCUAAAAGGAGAAGUCCUCAUGAGAUGAUGUUGCAGCAGCCAAUUAAAUCGAAACACCAAUAAAUUCUAGUUCACUCUCUUUCUGGGUCUGUAGCUGAUUUUUCUAUACCAGGCCAGGCAGUCCGAUUACUGAGAACCCACCGCAGAGCAUUCUAAGCAAGAUUCCACUUGUAAUCACAACCAUCCAAGAAAGACACGCCCGUAUAGGAAUCAAGUUAUCAGCAGCCCCAGCGGCAUAGAAAAGCCACAUCUUGUACACAAAGAGAGGUCCCGGAACUCCUUAGCAACAGAUUAACAGGUACGAAAAGGAGCAGACAAUCAUGUAGUUUCUUCUUAUAAAUCACGGAGAACAUUUCAAGAAGGGGGCAGUACGCGAUUUAUUUGAAUAUGUAUCUUUAAAAACAGCGUUUUACAAAGACUUUCGAUAGAUGUCAAAAGCUCAGCACAUAAAAUAAACCAAAUGGUGAUUGAACUUGGUAAUGAUAAAAAGAAAUGGCGACGAUUGAGAAUGAUGGCGAUGUGAUGCUUAGGGAGAGAAAAGAGAGCAUAUGAACAGAAAAGAAAAUAAAUAAAAUAAAAUAUUUUUAUUAUAUUUUUUAAUGAGGAUAAUUUCGAAAAACAAAUGAGUUAAUUAAAUAUUGGGGCUGCUAAGAUAAAUCGAGAGAGACAAAUAUUUUUUUCUAUUUAAAAAAAUUGUCAAUAGCUCAAAAUGUCGGGGCCACUAUAUAAAAAUAUUACACUUAUGAUGUGUUUUAUUUGUUGAAUUGGGGAAUAGGAAAACGAAAUUAAAAUCAUUAACGAUGUUUAUUUCACAAGAUAAGAAUAAGAUCAAAAUCGGAAUCAUAAGGCUCAUCCCAAUUCAAAAAUAAGGAAUGAGAGAUUGAUUCCCAAGAGGGGAUAUGAAUCAAUCUCUCAUUCCUUAAAUUAUCAAUUUUGCCCCCAAACGUAGAAAUUCAAUUUUGCCCUCAAUUCAAAAACCAACACAAGUGUCGAAUGCAACAUCUAUGCUCGAUCUGCCACCGUUGCACGCAGAGCCAUGAUCAAUCCCCUCAUAGUCGCAUGCAGAUCCUCAACCUCAUGGAAAUUGAUCCAGUCACCGUCGCACACUGCCAUGCACAAUCUCGUCACCAUUGUACAUAGAUCGUCAACCUCGUGCCACUGAUUGUCAUCGGUCGUAUGCGAUACCUGUUGAUCAUCGCUGCCACUCCUCGAUCGUCGUUGCACAUUUGAAUUGUCACCAGUUGUUGUUGUUAUUAACAAUGGAAAAAAUAAUAAUAAUCAUAAUUAUUAUUGUUUGAUUGUCAAAAUAAACAACAAUAAUAACAAUAACAAUUAAUUAAGGGUAUUUUAGUAAUUUAAAAUAAUUUAUUCUAAUUUAAAAAAAGCACAAUAAUGGGAAUACAAUCCAUUCUAAUUCUAAUUAUUACAAUUAAUAUAGACAACUUAUUCUGAUUCUCAUUCCCUAUUCUCCAUUCUUAUUAUUGUCAAUUCUGAUUCAUGCCUAUUACAAUUCCUAUUUGGUAAACGCACCAUUACUAUUUUUUUACAUUUACAGUUUAAAUUGAAUAAUUUACACCAUAUGUUUCUAGGUAAAAUGAUAACUACAUCGACCAAUUCGGCAUUUGUCGAUUACGCAGACAUGAUAGAUCGUUAUUAUCUUAGUUAGGAACGUGAUUGUCCAAAAUGCAGUUUUUCUAAUAUAUAUGAGAAAAAUGAUGAAUAAACUAAUUUUGAAAAUUGAGUUCCACUACCACUUCUAAUUAAUGUUAUACAACUCGCGUCAGUUACAUUUUCCAAGUACUAUUUUCCUCAUAAGUUCCAUUCCAAUAUGUGGAAAUUAAAUUUCAUGAUCAAUGUCACACAUAAACACACAACUCAGUCCGAUAAUGCAUGUGAUGAGACUCAUAACUACCAAUAUAAUGCUCUUUCACACAGGAAAAAGAGUGUACAUAGCCAAGAGAAUUAAUAUGGCUUAUGCAAGAGAAAUGAAACGUAUAUGAUACAAGAGAUUUUAUUCUAUUUUUUUUCCUUCUUCAAUGAAGAAUUAAUGUUUCUGAGGUACUUCUCCAUUUCUCUUGCGCAGCAAUCAUUAUGUUUAGUAAAAAAAGAGAUUAAAAAAAAAAUUUUACGACGUUCCAUUGUCAUGAAGUUCCCUUAGUUGUUAAAUAGAAAAAUUAUAUGUAUCGACAUCCGGUAGCAUAUCGAGGCAACUGUAGCAGUCAUCAACAGUUUGAUGAUGAUCAUAUUCAGGAUUGUUCAUUUUAGCACCAUGCGACGAGGAGCUCGUUGCUGCCAAGUGGGCAUGGAUUCCGGAACUAGUAGCGUUGUUAGAUGCACGGACAACAUUGUUAGCUUCCUCAUGAUCAUCCAGUGGCAACGUCAUGAGGUUGUAAUAAGUUUCCUGUUGUUCUUUGUGCCUAAGUUGUUCGAUAAGUAGUGCUAAAGAUGCUUCUUCCUCAUCUCUAGCUUGGUGCAUUAUGGGAGUUGGAGUUUGAUUUGCAGCUGGAAAGAAGUCGUAGUUCUGUUGUUUGUAUGAUGGCUCGGCUGCUGGCUCUGGCCGUUCCACUUUUUUAACGGAGAAAUACUGUCCCUCGGAUGCAAGAAAACACCAAAAGUCAGAGAACAGAAAUCAAAUUAGAAGCUACAUGUAUCUCAGUGCCUCGCACGUUCCCAUCAGCUGCUACUGCCUACAGGUACAUAAAACACUCAAAUUUUGUUUGUCCAUUUUUGGCACCGUUUCAUUUUGUCAUUUUCCGGUCGCAUCCUUCCAAAGGAUGAUUCAUCAUCAUACAGAAGAGGUUAAGGGUACUGUUGUCUUCCAGUUGAACAAACUUGAUUCCCUUUUCCAUAUUUCAAAAUUCACUUUUUUAAUUGUCAAACAAAUUCCAAUUAAUUCGCACAGUUUCAUAUAUAGCAAGUAAUAAUAAGUUGAUAAACUCACGAGAUUUUUGCUCUCAUCCUCGUAAAGGGUAAGGGAAUCUCCAAUCUCCAGCCCAUUUUGCUUUACAAAAUCCACUGUAUAUCGAAAACGUGAGAAAGUAGAAACAGAAGAUGAGAAUUGGCUUGGGGGGAAAAAAAAGCUUCAUUUUUAAGGUUUAAAAUAAUUUUUCAGGAACUGAGAUUUACCUGUAUUUUCAAGAACAUACAUUCUGCUCUUAUUAUUAGACCAGUACCUGAGUUAUCAAACGGGCACAAUUAAUAAUAUGAUUAACUAACAAAUGGGUCUAGCAGUAUCAAAACUGUAGUAACCAUAACCCAUGCAUGUCAGUAUGUAUGUACUCACUUGAACUUGAGAGUCCAAUGUUUGACAGAAUAUACAUCCCUGAUUACUAUGUGGAUGCCUUCUUUAUCAGAAAGACUUGGAAGAUUUUCUUCAGCCUCUCUCUGGAUUAAAUAAAAAAAACGAAAAAAGACUUAAUUAUCAUGAAUAUAUAGAUAAUAAGGCUAAUUAUUUUUUGAGAGGUCAUUAAUAAUCUUUCCUUUUUCCCAUUUGCUUUAUUUUCUGUGCAAGAAUCGAGAAGUCAGGAAGAGAAGUUAUUCGGCAGAGUAGAUGCACAACUAUGAUGUAGUGGUCAAUAAGAGUAAAUCAAAUGAAUGAUUACGGUUGGCUCAUUUACUUCUUUCCCGUCUAUCAUAAUCAUCUUCAUUGCAUUGGAGUAAAAGAACGCAAGACCAAAAUAAGCAAAAGUUGACCGACUAAGAAAGCAAAGCUAUAAGCACAGCAAGGGCUGAUCACCUUUGGAAGAAUAAUCCUCCCUAGAGAUCCCACAUCACUGUUCUUCAACGCCUUCUGCAACAGCACUCUCAGUCUCUGUGAGAAGAAAAACCAAAAAAAAUAAAAAAUUAGAACAGACAGUACAGAAAACACAUGAUGGAGUAAAGGCUAAAGACAAAACAAACAACGGGUUCUAAAUUUUCGGAUUAAUUCGACGCGAACUCACUUUAUUAUCUGGGGUGCAGAAGUUGAACAGAUCUCGGUGAGUGUCAACACCAUACGUUGGUAGUCUUGUCGCGUCAAAGUGAGCUGAAGAAGGCACAUUUGAAGAAGAAGCCCCAGAAGAUGCAUUUCUUUGUAAACUGAGGCUCUUUUGCCGAGCUAGUUUUCGUUUAAUCCUAGCAAUCUUGGUCUUUUGUGGAUCAAGAACCACUCUUUGUGGCUCCUUUGGUACCCUGAUAUGUGGUUGCAAACUCCACGAUCCUGCUGCUGCUGGUAGCGCAUUAUUACCACCUCCAUUUUGGAUCCCGUUUUGUGCUAACCAAAAUGGAUACACCGGAUAUGGAGCAGCAGCAGCAGCAGCAGCAGCAAAAGAUUGACCACCAGACUGGUCCAAAGGAAAUGUGCUAGGGUAUUGCAUAUUUUGAUGAUAAUAAGUUGGUAAGUAGAGCUGGGAAUUUUGUGUAUACGCCAUGCUUGGUUGGCUAAGUUGCUGGUUAGUGAAGGUAUUAAUGGUAUUGUUGUUAGCGGUGGCGGUGGUGGCGGUAUUGUUGUUAGAAGCUGGGAAAAAGUUGUUCUCCAUAAUAUUGAAAUGGAAGUACAGACACUGUUUGAUAGAGAGGAGAGUGUGUUUGUGUUUGUGUGUGUGCGUUUAGUUUUGAGUUUGUAUUAUUUUGUUCCGAUGAGUGCAAGUCUGGUUCAAGAAUAAGGUCGUGGUGGAGGAAGAUGCUGCCAUUAUAGAGAGCCCAGGUGUCGAUAAAGCAAGAGAAACGCGUCAACUGGUGCAGAAGGGCCGGUGUGGAGAAGGAAAACAAUAAAGCAAACAAAAACAAAAGAAAAAAGAAGCCACGAAAUUGUAGCAGAGUGAAGUACUGAGAAAGUGAGAAGCUGAAAUGAAUGAACAAAUAUGGUGAUAGAGUGGAGUAAAAAGAUGGCCAAUCGGGCGUCGUUGGUGACAGAUGGUAAGUGAGUGGUGGUUUUGGGAUACCCAUCUGCCCAGUAAGAGAACAAGACACGGUUGGCUUCAAAGACUUGGCGCCACCUUUGUUUUAAUUGUGGCAGCGACUUGGCCUCACUCUUAUUUUCUGCACGCAACACCACGCAAAUUAACUAUGCCUUUCUCUCUCACACACACAUACACACUGCAUUUUAUUUUCUAAUUAAGACUGAUUAAUUUUAAUCUGCAGCUUUGAUAUAUAAUAUAGAUUGCAAAGCUGAGUGGGGUAAAUUAGAUUUUUUUUUCUAGUUUUAAAUAAAAUUUAUAUGAUGAGAAACGAUCAGAAUUGUUCUUUGCCGUUGCAUUGUUGUUUCUUAGACUCAGAAAAGCCAAAUUUGGUUCAAAAUGCAAACUUUCGAAACACAAAGAAACAGCAAAGUCAAUUAUACCGUCCCUCUUGUUUCCUUCAGAAAAUUUUUAAUUCUUAUAUUAGUUGUAGUUAGAAUCGUUUGAAUUUGAUUUUGUAUUAAAUUGUUUUAAUAGAAGUAGUUUUAUUAUAAAUUAGUAUUAAAAUUAGGUUGAUAUAAUGUUUGGGAUGUGAGUAAAAGAUUGCAAAAAUGUUUGGAAUGUGAGUAAAAUAGAGCGGCUGAAAAACCCAAGAGGAUGAAAUUUUUGCCUCCGCUCCAUGGCUCCAUGGCCACCGGCAUUCUGAUGCCAUGCCUGGCUUGUUAUUCACCAGCUUGGCCAUGCCUCCAUGAUCCAAGUUCACCUAUGUAGAAGGCACAAAAAAAAGGGAAUAUUAGAGUUGAUACAUCAUCAAUUAUACAGUAUACAUUACUUGCUUUUGUGAUCCAAGAAAUUAUCGCCUUCAUUACUUCUUUUACAAGCUAUAUGUACAUCGAAAGAACAGAAAACUUGUUCAUCUGGAGGCUGGAGUUAUAUUGAAUUUCUUGUUAGCAAAAACGUUUGGCUAUUCUUACUUUCAAAAAUUGAAAUAUUAAGCACUUAUACGGAUGAAAGAGAACAGUUAAUUAAAGCACAAGCAGAUAUUUAUCUUCCCAUUAAUUCUUCUCAAUAUGUAAACUCAAUGAUAAUAGAAGCAGAAAAGGCCGCAAAAUACAACCCAAAAACAGAUAAAAAGCAAAUAAUUGGCAAAAAAAUCCUCGGUUCACAUGUAUAUUAAUUACUAACUAUUAACGAUCAUAUCUAGUAGAUAUUUCUAUACAUGUAAAGCAGAUGUAGUUUUACCCAUGGGAAUUCUAAUUUUGCAUUUACUUUUUGCUGGCAACUGAUUAAUUCACAACAACAAUGAACUUUCAUUAAUAUAUUUUUCAUGCAAUGAAAAUUUGCAACAAAAAAAUACAUUAAAGAACACAUCAUCCAUCAGAGAAAUUAAAAGAUUCCCAUGAGUAUAAUAGAAGACCAAGGCAUGAGAUCACUUGAAGUUGAAGAUCUCAAAGAUGCAUGAGAAGUCUUCAGUGCAAAAUAAAUACAGCAAUCUACUUAAUGGGCAAGAAAAGAUUAGAAUAAGUAAUUUCAAUAGUAAUGAAUUUAUGAAGGCAAUUAGCUUCACAAAUAAGCAAUAUGCAAAGCCUUAUGAGAUAGAAGCCUGACUUACAGAGUAAGAAAAUUCUCUGAUUCUGGAUCUACAAUGAGAAAAAAAAGCCCUCAUGCCACAAAAUCAAGGCUAUAUUUAUAAUCAUUAAGUAAUAAAUGGUUCUUAAAUCAAAGCUUAAACUAUUUCUAAGAGCUUGUAAGAAGGAAAUAAAAACUUGAAAAUGAUAAAGGGCAAGGCAAGAAGUGAUGCAUUUGCAAAGAGACUCUUGCAUAGUUUAUAUAGAUCCAUUAACGGGAUCUGCAUGGAACUAAAAGGUCUUAGGUGAUAACACCUGCAUAACUUGACUUGAUAGCUGUCAGUGGUUUAGAACGUAACGCUAAACACGCGUUGUGGUGGCCAUAACUCGUGCUCGAAAAAGACAAUCGAAGUAAACUGGAUUCAAUUUAUUGUUCACAUCCGUUGUUGUUAUUUGUGCUUUGCAAUCUAUAUAAAAUCUCAUCGAAACGUAAAUUGACAAGCAUAUCCUGCUUUCCAAACAAAGCUGGCUUCAUUUGUUCAGCCUUAAUGAUCAAGAAACAUCAAACUAUGCAGAACAAAAGAACCAAUUCGAUGAGGCCUAAUUUUUUCAUGUGAGUUCCAGAUAAGAUAGGAAUGGAAAGGAACACUACUGAUAAACAUGUGAUGAUCAAGCAAAGUGGUAUAGGGAUCAAUAUCUUGUCAAGGUCCAAAGACAAUAUUUACAUGAAAAUUUUGAAUAAAAAUAAUGCAACUAUUGGUGAUUACUACUAACAACUGGCAAGUGAAAAAUGGUCUUUUACCGACCAUUAUGCUAAUUUAAUGUUCACCUUUCUCUAGAUCACAAAAGAAAAGAUUUCUUUGAUAAUCUGAACAUACAAAUGUCUUACAACAUCAAGAUAAAUUUUUAGUUCAAAUUUGAAAAUGGACGAGUAACUCAACACUGGAAAAUAUGCUUUUAACUAUGACUGAAGCAGGCUAGUUUAAAAAUAUAACUGCAGAGGUAGAAAAAAAGUCUAAGGUGAACGAGUUCUGAUACGAAUAAUCAAGAAAGAUGAUGCCCUAUGUUGGAAUGAAAAGAUAUGAUGCAUUUGGUAAGUCAAAUUUCUGCUUUCAUGUUUCCAAAACUAAAGACUAUUUUUUUUUUUUCCGUCCUAGUACUACUUCAUGUUUUUGGGUAUUAAUUAUCAUUGGCACCUUCCUUUUCAGGAACAUUGCCAUACUUGUCAUAUACAACUCAAUACUUUGUGGUUUGCUAGGAAAGAAAAUGGCUACAAAAAGAAGGAUACAAGGAUACAAGUUUAAGGAAAUGCAAUCUUCUUAAUCAUUCCCUUUUGACACAUUUGUAACUAUAUCUCAUCCAACGUAAAUAAAUCUGGAGGUUUGAGUUGAAUAUAGCAUACUGGCUAGGUAUCAAAUUAGUGACUUCAAACGGAAAAAGGAUUGAUAAUCUGGGCUUCUCUAACUAAUAAUAGGCUUGAGGCCCAACAGAUUAUAGAAGUUUGACCAGAAUCCAAACCAACUUGAUUUUGUUUUUGUAUCCAAUUAUUUAUUAUUCAAGGGAAAAUAAAGAUGUGUUGACUAGCUAUAGACCGUCCAACUUCCACGUGGCAUGAAAUGCCCACGCGUCCAUAUUGUAGGUCGCCACCUUCUUCUUCACUUACAACUUAUAACAUGCAAUGUAAAGACACAAAGCGGUAAGGAAACGAUCAGAGAGGAAAGAAAAUCAACAUACAGCAAGAAACCAUGGCAGCGACGUUCAUAACCAAGAACGCUAUCUUCAACCUCACAAGAGCUUUCCCUCGUACCUCUUCUCUUUCGCUCACAACUCCGCACAAAGACUCCAGAGUCUGCUUCUCCCCUGCAUCAUCAUCUAACUACAAUGAGGUAAUAUUAAUUACUUACUCAAAAUAAUAUUUUUAAUUUGGUGAAUAUGUGUGUGUGUGUGUGUUUUGUUGAAUGGUUUGAUUGUGACUUGCAGGACCGAGAUGCAGUGGAGAAGGCCAGGGAUUCAAGGGCUGACAUGGCCUACAGGUCGAAGGAAACGAUGAACGAAACUGACGAGGACAUAUCAGAUAGAGCAAAAGAAACCAUAGGCAAAACCAAAGAACGGGCUCAGGAGAUGAAGGAGAACGCAAAAGAAAAGACCAAAGAGGGAACUAACAAAACCGCUGCGGCGGCACAGAACGCCAAAGAAAGGACCAAACAGAAGGCCAAAGAAGGGACAGAGAGAGCAUCGGAGGCUGCGCAGAGGGCUAAAGAGAAGGCAGAAGAAGGGACAUAUAAGGCAGCGGAGACUGCAAAAGAUUACGCACACAGCGCCAAGGAAAAGACCGCAUCUGCAGGGGAGACUGUGAAGGAGAAGACCAAGGAAGGCACCAACAAGGCGGCGGAGACGGCGCAGAGUCUAGGGGAGAAGGCGAAGCAGACGGUGCAGGGUGCAUUGGAGAGGGCGAAGGAUACUACGCAGAAGAUUAAAGAGACUGUUGUAGGGAAAGAGGAUGAAGAUCGUAAUGAUGACAGAGAGAAGAGGACGGAUGAAGAUGUUGUUGAGUUGAGGCGGCGGCAAGCGGGCGAGCAUGAUGACAAGAACAAGUAUUAAUUAGUAACGGGAUCGUUGAUGAUCAUCAGUUUUUAUUAUAUCUGUCAUCUGUGCGUGCUGUGUUUUGCUAAUUAAUUAACUGCAAAAUAAGUUUUUAUGUUGAGAGUAUAAUCUCCGAGGAGACUCGGCUCGUUUAAUUAAUUUAAUAGAAAAAAUAAUAUAAAAAAAAAACCACCUUUGACCAAUGAGAGAAAAGUAUUAAUUUUCCGAAGUAAUUUACAUUGACGGUAGUUGCAACACCUGCCAGUGACGCUGCGAUGCCCCAGGUAAAGCCAAAGCCAAUGUGCCUUGGCAAGACUCAUUAUUGAACUCGAGGACAACAGAAUAAUGAAUUAUUCAUGUAAUCACUUCAACAAGAAAUCAUUACAUCAUUCUUUUUUUGGGAAAUGGAUUUGUUGUUACAUGAGAUAAGACUAUAAUUUAAUUGAUAAGCGAUUGAUUUGCGACACCCGGAAGAAGGAAGAUUACUUACAGGUUAUAGAUUAAGGCUCCCAAUCUGAGCCAAUGUGGCUCAUAAUAACAUUAACGUGGGUAUACGUAACAUGAUUUAACAAAACGUUAUCCUUGGAUGUGAAUUAUUUAACAAUAAUUUUUUUUUUUUUUAUAAACUGUGGCUCAAUCAAGAGUUAGAGAACAACGUACCGAAGGGUAAUAACUCUUUAAGCUUCAUACAAAAGAAGGAAAUUAAUCCCAAUCGGAGGAUUAUGGUACAAAAUAAGGCCAAUAAUUAAAGAAAAAGUAAGGUUCGCCGUAUACUUCUCAACAUAGUUCGCCUCGCCUCUCUAUAUAUAUAUGAGAGAUAAAAAUCUGUCAAUUCUUAUGGGAGUUAACAAUAAUCUUUUUAAAGUCAGUAACAAUGUUGUUUAAAAUUUAAAAUUACGAAUCAUUAAAAUUUUAAAAUUGUAAAGUCUAUGUGUCCACAUAAUUGAAUUCUUAUGUACUUAUUACAUUUCUAACUAAGAAGAUUUUUAGGUUAUAAAUUUUAGAAAAAUUAAUUGAUAUCAAGAUGGGAGUUAUCAUUUCCUUCCUAUUUUGAUGAAAUUUCAUUAAUACGAUGCACCCCUUAAUGUGAUAAAGAAGGCAGAAGUUAAGCCCAUAUUGUGGAGACCGGAGCAAAAUCCAGAACCAAGGCCCAGGGGAAAAUGGCCCGGCAUGAGAGUGAAGGCAUCACCGUUGAAUUAGGGGAUGCUCCACGCAUCCAUAAGAUACGAGGGAACGAAUGAUGUUGAUGAUUAGACCAAUCCGGUGGACCACCUGAGAAGAUCAAGCUAAUAAAAGUUAUCCAAGCCAUCAGAGUGGUGAGCAGCUCUAUAAAGGACAAUGGAGGAAAAUACAGAAUAGCAAAUGUCACAGCCAAUGGGUAUUGACUAUUGAAGAGUGAAAGUGCAGCGUUUGUCCACCAAGUGGUGGCUUCAGAGGAGCAGUUGUAACCUCUAACGGCCAUCGGCGUCACCCCCAUUUUCUCCUCUCAAGUUUACGUGCCACUCCCCCACUUUUCGUUAUUUUUUUAAAAAAAAUUAAACUCCCCCACCUCCACCAGUCGCGUUCCUAAUUUCGUUUCCUUCUCGGGUUUUUGGCCUGAGAAAUUUAUCUGGGCACCCGGAUUUUUUGGUACUUUUAACUGCCGAAACUACCCUUCCGCUAUAAUAAGUUAAAAUGGGGCGCUCCCUCUCUCUCUCUCUCUCUCUCUCUCUCUGUGUACCCAGAUGAUUUGGGUUGAAACUUUAAGUUGGACGCACAUAAAACUUACUUUGUAUAAAAUAAAAUUGACGGACUAUUAAAAUAUAUGUAUUUUGCCAUUGCCCUUUUCGGUGUACAUGAUUGGUUGGGCGACAGUAAAAUACUGCAAGUAAACAAAAUCUGUACACGAUGAUAAUAAUACAGUUUAUAACCUUUAAUAUUUAUACAGAUUAUAACUUUUAAUAUUUACUUUAUGCAACGAGAAGGAAUAAAACAAUUUUGAUAAACACGAGUGAAAAUUAUAAUUGUUGACGUUAAAAUUUUCUCUUCAAAUUCAGUACUUUAAAUGUUAAUCGUCAACUACAGUGUCCAAAAAUAUAGCAAAAAUAGAGCUCAAAGUAAAAAUAAUUUAUUUCCAGAGUAUACAAACCAAUAGGUAAAAUACAGUGUCUUAAAAUCUUCAGAUUGCUUCAAAUUAAAGCAUAGUUAUUUGUCUUUAAUUAAAUGUUAAACUGGUCUAUGGUCUCGUAAUUUUUUGAUGAGUAAUGAUAAAUAUGUCAGAAUUCUAUGCGAAAUUAAUUCAAUCUCAAAUAAUAUAAUAGAUAAUUAAUUCAAUCUCAAACUGGUCUAUGGUCUCGUAAUUUUUUGAUGAGUAAUGAUAAAUAUGUCAGAAUUCUAUGCGAAAUUAAUUCAAUCUCAAAUAAUAUAAUAGAUAAUUUGUUACGCGUUAGGUGGUUGAUAAAUUUAAAUAAAUAAAUUAUAUUAUUUUACUAUCCAAUUAAAAAAUGACACAUCAUUUGAAAAUAAAUUCUUAAAUAAUAUUUUGAGAAUGUCCUAUACACUCUUUAAUUUAUCAAUAUUAUAUUAAAGUUAUUAGAUUUAACUUUCAUAGUAAAUACAAAAUCACAAAUUAUGAACGAAUGCAGGAAGUUUCCUUCUAAUAAGAAUUCACUUAUUUUAAUAUGAUAAGAGACGAUACAAAAAAUAAAAAAUAUAUAAAUUUUAAUAUUAACAAAAGAAAAUACAAUAUAUUAAAAUAUAAAAUUUUUAUAUCUUUUAAUUUAUCUCUUAUUUUAUGAAAAUAAAAACUUCCUUAUUAAAAAAUUUAUCUCCAAUGCGAAUCCUUAAAGCCCUCAACUUCAGAGUAAAGGGAAUGAACUUAAGCCAAGACUCACUUUUGAUCAUGAAACUACAACCGGGUCAACGAACCUUAAGAAAGAGGGUCGGACUUUGUGUUACCGAAUCCUCCCACAAAUGGGGAUAAUAUAGUCUUUUCAGGCUAUGAGUGUCGAUAUCAAUUAUGGAUGUCCAAAGACGACUGAUAUAAGAUAAUGACAACAGAAACAGCCUCUAAAAUAUUUGUUUAAAAAAAAAUUCCAAAAAACAAAAGAAUGAGAGAAUAGAAGACUCAAGAGAGAGAUUUUGGAAAGUGGAAUAAGAUAGAGAAAGACAAAAGGAAGGGGGGGGGUUUAAAGGAAAAAAAAAAAGGAGAAAUAGAAGCUGAAUUCAGUGUUACACAGCGCACACCACCCUAUUGACUACUGCAACGCCACCUUUCUCUGGCCGCAGCAGCCACCUCUGGUCCAUCACCCCUCUCCUCUAUUACAUCUCUCUUAAUUUUUCUGUCUCUUAGUAAUUCCAUUAUUGAUUUUUCUUUCUUUCUUUUUUUUUUUUCCCUUGAGGGGUGGGUUGUUUUCAUCAGGUACAAAAAGAAAGAAAGAAAAAGAGAGUGAGAUUUUCUGAUUUGUGGUCACCGGAGUAAUUUGUGUGAGUAGGCUAUUUCAUGUAUGACACGGGGGUGUUCUGAUCAGGGCGACAAAUCAAGGUGGAGUGGGGCUGAAUUACCUGAACCUAAACACAGCCAUUUAUUUAUAACGACUGUACCGUCUCUGAACCAAAAAAAAAAAAUCAUUUCUCCCCUUCAGUUUCUCUAGUUUCUGCCUUGCCUGCACACCAGAAUGAGACCUUUCCUCUGUGACUUUGUCCACGGUCGACACCCGUACAAAUUAAAUCUCAUCUUUCAAUAUCCUCCUAAUUCCGAAUCUCUCUCUCUCUCUUUCUCUCUCUCUUCAAUUGAUUAAAUAAACAUCACAUAUGCAAUUAAUAUAUCUAUGUGUUUAUGCAGCAUAUUGGUUAUUUGAGGAUCUGAGAGAUUUGGCUAGAGGUUAUGCGGAGAUACUGAGUUAUUGAUUAUGAUUUGGUGUUUUGUUGGAUGUUUCCACUGUUGAGAGAAGUUGGUUUUAGUUUUUCUGGUGGGUUUAUUGUGUGUGUGUGUAUGUAUAUAUGUAUACACACACACAGACACAGCUGAUAGCUGAUAGAGCUCGCAUGCAAACAAUCGCCGUGGUUUUGCACUCUUGUGUGUUUAGAUUCUUACUAAGCAGCCAUAGACACGUUGUGUCCUUAAUUUGAAACCCUCUAUAUAUCUUAACCUCAUCGGGUUUCACUUCUCCCUCAAACAAAACCUGCAUGUACCAAACCCACAAUAUAUAUAAAAUAAAAGUAGAGAUGCAGCAGCAGGAGAGAGGAGGGAGCAGUGAAGAGAGGAAGCAGCAAGAUCGGAGGCUGAAAACGAUGCAAGGAGGAACGGAGAAUCAGCAGCAACAGGAACAGCCGCAGCCACAAAAGUGUCCGCGUUGUGAGUCUCUGAAUACGAAGUUUUGUUAUUACAAUAACUAUAGUCUCUCUCAGCCUCGUUAUUUCUGCAAGACAUGUAGAAGGUAUUGGACUCAAGGUGGAACCCUAAGGAAUGUCCCUGUCGGAGGUGGUUGUCGGAAAGGAAAGCGCACUAAAACCUCUUCUGUCUCCGGGGAGGCUUCACGAGCUUCUCAGCCGCCGCAGCCACCAUCGCCGCCGCAUCCAAAUUUCACAACCACCCAGCAGAAUAUUCUCUCUUCUUCUAAUCCAGUUAUCACUACUGGACCUCCAGUUUUGAGGACUAAGCUGGAACCGGCGGCAGCUCCUCCGUCGAUGGGGUCUUACUAUCCAAGUGGUGGGUUCUUGUCUUCUUUAGCUGCAAUCCAAUCUCAAUCUUUUAAUCCUCAGCCGCUGCAUCAAGCUUUUAAUGUCGGAGGUGCUGAUCAUCAUCAUAAUAUCGGAGGGUCUUCAAAUUUGGAUCUGUUGCAGGGAUUCAGUACUGUCCCUUCUUUUGGGUCAUCACAUACACAGCACCAGCAGAUUCAACGAUCAAAAUUUUAUCAUCAUCAGAUGGGAAAUAGAGAUAAAAGUGCGAAUCCCAUGCACAUGAUGUAUCAUACCAUUCCGUCUGAUCAGGAGAACUUGACUAUUCAGUCUAGGAGGCCCGGCAGUAGUUCUUCUCAUCAUCAGCAGCAUGAUUGGCAUCAGCAAGGCAGCUUCAUCAAUAAUGGUAACAACCCUAAUGUACCUGAUCAUGAUACCAGUUUGUGGAGUGUCAGCACUGCCAGCGCCAACAGCAAUAAUACCUCCGUUUCUGGUUCUUUGAACCCAAAUCAAUGGCCGGAUCUUCCAGGUUAUGGCCCUCCUCCAUGAUUGAUCUGUUCAGCUUCAAUAUGCCAGCUCCUUCCAUCUCCAAAAGGAUUCUUUUUUAUAAUUCGAGUUGCUAUACUGGAAACAGCACCAUUAAAUCUCUCUAUAUGUUUUGGUUUUGAUCUUGUUCGUAGAACAUGGCUUUGAAAGAAUUUUGAGAUGUUUGUGCUCAUGUAAAUGGUAGAAAAAAAAUAGCGGCAACUGCCAUCGUUUGUAAUCUUUCUUAUAAUGUUCUAUAGAGAUGUUCUCGAUCGGUGUAGGGAUUAAUUAGGUUGUUUAAUUUGAACUUUUGAUAAAAGUUAAUAAUAAGGUGUAUGUUUUUGAGAACUUUAUUUAUUAAUCCUCUCUUCUCUUUAUUAGUAUUCGUGCUUUACACGGUACAACGAAUGUAUCAACUUUCUCCCACUAUACAAAUCAAAAGAUAUAAAGGCCUUCGCUUUUGGUAGCCUAGUUAAUUAGGGUUUUUUUAAGAGUCUAUAAAAAGAAGAGGAGAAGAACAGGUAAAAAGGAAAAGUACAUGGGGAAUAAAUAUAGACUAGUGGAACUGACGUAUUCGCGGAAGUUGUUGGACGAGAUGGUUCAUUUUGUUGCAUGAGGGCGACUGAGACAUUUAACUCAGUCUUCAUUUAAUGUUUGUGUAUCCAGUAUUCACUUUACUGUUCAAUUCUCCCAGAGCUUUCGCCAGUGUACAAAGAGGUAAUCUCUAUUAUCUAAUUUAUAAAAAUGAUAUAAAAAUUAAUAAUGUGCCUCAUUUUUAUUUUAUUUUUUAUGGUUACAAAUUUUAUUAAAUAUAGUUUUAGAGAAAACUAUAUACAUAAUAUACAUUUUCUCAGUUCUCAGUGUCAUGAUUUAAUACAUUUUUUCGUCACAAUAUCACUCAUCCUUUUUUAUGCCAUAAAUUUUCGGGAAAUUUACACUAAUAACCAUUAAAGUUUUGGUUUUUUUCAUCUUAACCCCCCAAACAAAUUUCUAUCAACAUUAGCCAUAAAACAAGCUUUGAGACUAAAAUACCCCUCUCCCUCAUCUCUCCCCCAACACUCCCUUUCACUCAUCUCUCCCAAACCGAACCAACUCCCAUCAUCGGCGGCAACAUCAGCCCUCGUCGGCGGUGGCUCCAUCUUUCAUCGACGUCCGAUCUACAAUCUACAACUUUCAACAAAACCUAGAUUAGCCAUUUUUUUUUAUUUUCAUUAAUUUCAAAUGAAAUUUUAGAAUAAUAAUGGUUGUAGUUUGAGAAUAAUGGUGGUGGUGGUGGUGUUUGUGGUGGUUGGUGGUGUUUUGGGAGUAUUGUUUUUGGAUUUUUGAGUGUUGUGGGGAGGGAGGGGGGGUGGGGGGCAGCGCGCGCGGGCGCCCAUCGCUGGGCAGCAGCGCGGGCGCAUGCGCGCCCCACUGUCGCACCAAUUUUGGUGCGACAGCGCCCUACUGCCGCACCAAUUUGGUGCGACAGCAAGCCUCUCGCACCCUAUAUUCUUUAUGUUUUUGCAUCCAGUUUUUCCAAAUUUUGAAUUUGUUGGUCUGCUUACGGGGUAAAUGUCAGUAAUAUUGGUCUGCUUACGGUUGCUUCAAAUUUUCAGGAUGAUAUGUCUCGUAAAGACUGGAACUUGGUUAAGGUGCUGAAGAAAAUUUUUAAGAUACCAUAAAGUGAUGAAUAUUGUUCUAUGAACGAUUGGGCAGUUGAGUACUGCUCUUGGAAUAAUGCAGUCAAUCUUUCUUUCAUGCUAAGUUUUGUUAAUAAAUUUUUCAUAGAUACUUUGAGAUAAUCGAUAACAUGAAUCUUUUAAUUUCUUCGGAUACUGAUUCCAAAUUCUGGGAUUUUCUUCAUCUUUCAUUUGUUAGAAAUUGGUGCCUGAAGCCUGAAGCCAAACGAACAUAUUGGCAGUUUUAAAUCAAGUACCUUGGACAACCAAUGAUUCAUUUAAAAUAAAUUUAAGAAAGAAAAAAAGAGAGAACAGUAACAUAUGACAUCUCAAAUACGGCCAAAGGUUCAAGCUACAAAAUGUGCCAAGCCAUGUUGUUGAGCAAGCGUGCCUCUGGAACUUCCAUCUUCAUCAACUCUAUUUUCUUCCAGCAAAAUAAUAACCAAGCAAAUGCGAUUAAUCCUCGAAUAAAACUUGGUGCGACAGGUUGCCUGUCGCACCAAGCUAAGUGCGACAGGUUGGUUUGCAAAUCGUUUUACAUUACAGAAUCAAAGCACUGCAAGAAACUGAAGCCUCUUCGCCAAGAGCACUUACCAGUUGUUCUCAUUCGAUAUUCAAACACAACUCAUCUUGAUCUCAGUCUCUAUCCACGCAUAAAUGACCAUUCUUUAUUUGCAAUAUCGAAAAUCACUAGCUUUACACUUCAAUCUAUUGAUCUUUCACGUUCUUGGGGCUUUUCAAGUUCUGGGUUGCUGAGUUUGACGUUGAGCUGUAAGAAUUUGGAAUGAUUUAUGGCUUCGAAGUGACACAAAACCGAACUUGUUGAAGGCUGGACCCUCUGUAGCUCGCACUUAUGGAAAAGCAAAACUUGGUGCGAUUAAUCCUCGAAUAAAACUUGGUGCGACAGGUGCCUGUCGCACCAAGCUAAGUGCGACAGGUUGCCUGUCGCACCAAGCUAAGUGCGACAGGUUGCCUGUCGCACCAAGCUAAGUGCGACAGGUGCCUGUCGCACCAAGUUUUUUUUGCGACAGGCACCUGUCGCCAUAUUCACCCACGACUCAGUUCACUGAAACUCUCGAGCAAGUUCAAAAAAUAACUCAUGUGAUGCCGAUUAGUGUUGGAUCCGGAUAGAUUAUGAUCGGAUUUCACUUUUAUCGUUGUCUUUUGCCGUCGCCGUUGGUUGAUGAUUAAAGAGUGGAAAGCUGCCUUUGGUUUGACGAUAUGUGAGAAAGAAAGUUGCUUUUGGUCUGUAAAGAAGGGUAAUUUGGGGAGAAAAGCGUGUGUUUGGCUAAUGUUGAUAGAAAAAAGUUGAGAGGAUUAAUUGUGAAAAUAACAAAAUUUUUAUGGUUAUUUUCGUAAAUUUCCCUAAAUUUUCUGGGUGUUUUGUUAUUAUGGGAUGGUGACGUAAGAGAUCAAUAAAAUGAGUCGCUAGCUAAUUAGAGAUGGCCAAAGGCCAACGGGUCAAGUCGUGCUCACUAUGUAUUUCGUGUCUAAUUUUUUUUCUUGUGAAGACUCAUUCGUGCCAUGUCAUGGGCCAUGUCGUGCCGUGCUCAGGAAAAAAAAUUCACUAAAUUUUUUUUUUUUUAAGAGUGCAUGUUAAGUUGUCUUAUUUUUUUAAACUUUAUGUAAUUUUUUGGAUCCAUGUGUCUUUAUUAAAAUUUAAUAGAAUGAAAAAUUUAAAACUCAAGUUCAUAUUCAAUAAUAAUAAAUUAAUAUUAAUAAUGUAAUAUUAAUUACUAAGUUUGACUAUGUAGUAUUAUAAUUCCUUUUUAGUACUUAACAAUAACAAUAAUAAUAAUUUUUUACGGGUUAAAUUAAUUGUUAACUUAGAAUUACGCAAAGUCAUUUAUCAUAGUUUAUAAUAAUAUUAAUACAUAUUUAUAAAAUCAUAAUAUCAAUUACUUAUUUAAUAAAUUAUAAACAUAAAUCAAUUAUAAUUUUUUUGAAACUAAGAAUUAAAUAAAUUUAAAAAACCUGAGCUAAUAAAAUGUAUCAAAAGAUUCAAUUUCAAGUUAUUUAUAAAAUUAUAAAAUUUUAAGUUUACUUUUAUUAAAAAAAUAAAAUUAUUUAUUGUGUAUUUUUUCGUGUAUUGUAUUUUACCCAUCUCUAAUCGUAUCAUAUUUUUAAUGGCUAUGUACAUAAAAUUUUAAGUUCGGCCCAACUCCCAUACGUGUCGUGUCGUAUUAUAUCGCAUGCUUUACCAAAAUAUUCUCAUACCGUAUCAUAUUAUAUAAAUAUAUAUCGUAUCUCGUGCCGUUCGGUCCAUUUACCACCUCUAAACAGCACACCUAAAGCACUAUGGAAAUAAUAAUUAAGGACGUGCGUCUCGAACGGAUUAAUUUAGUAAAAAUGGAUCUAACAAUUGACCUCGGUCUUGAUGCGUCAAUUGCUUAAACACACACACAAGCAGAUAUAUAUAUAUAUAUAUAUAGAAAGAAAUUAAAAUCUGGUCCUUAUAAACAAUAAUUGAAAAUGAAAAGUGAUUACCAUCAAAGACAAGAUUGGGAGAAAGCGUGGAGUGGGAGGUGGCUGUGGUGGUUUCCAAGUAAAGCAGAUCUUUGGUCUGCCAUGGCAAGAUCUCUGUUCAGAGAAUAAAAAUUAAAGCAGUGAGACUGAGAGUGAGAGACCUCUUCUUCCUCUCGGGAUAACCACAACAUGUCACUUCUUUGCCGUACGGCACAUUAUAAUCUAAAAAAUAUAAUUUUUGCAGAGAAAGAUUACAUCACUAUUCACCAUGGAAAGUCUGUCAGCGUCCAGCCAGCAUGCAGAAUUAUAGGUAAGCCAAGAGCUAGCCAAUAAUAAAAUAUAUUCUACAUUUCUACUGUUUGAAACAGAGCCACUCGACUCAAUCGAGCUAGAUCCUAUAAAUGAUUUUCAAAUUUGGGUCCGUCUAUGUUGCAACAGUGGCAACAUACAACAACUUUUAUCAUUUUAUGUUUAUUACAUUACACUAUCUUAUAUUUUCUGAAAAAUUUAAUAGCCACUAAAAGUAACAAAUUUUUACAUAUAAGUCCAUUUUUAUAAUAAAAUGACAUUUGAAAAGAAUUUUAAUUUAUUAUUAUUAUUAUUAUCAUUAUUAUUAUAUAAGAUUAUUUCUAUUAAAUUUUAUUUUAUUUAUUUUUUUAAUUAUUUUUAUUUAUGAUUAUUACUGUCAUUAUUAUUAUUAAAAUUUAUUUCUUUUAUUAUUUUAAUUGUUAUUAUACUGUAAUUAAUUCAUUAAUAUUAAUAUUUAUCUUGUUAUGAUUAAAAUUUUUGUUAUUAAAAUAUAUUAACUUUAUUAUUAAUUAUUGUUGUUAUUAUUAUUAUUAAAACUUAUUAAUAAUUUUUAUUAUUAUCAUUAUUAAUAUUAUUAUUUCAGUUAAUUUUGUUGUUAUUAUUGUUAUUGUUAAUUUUUUGUUUUAAUUAACAUUAUUGUCAUAAUUAUUAUUUUUAGUUUUAUUAUUAUUAUUGUUUAAUUAUAAUAUAUACAAAUAAUAUUAGGGACACAAUUAACAAAGGGCAUUUUAAUAACUUAUAAUUGUCUAUUCCAAUUAUAAAAUAAAGUAAACACAUCAAUGGGAAUGUUGUUCAUUCCGAUUCCAAUUCAUAGAGCUCAAGUAAAUAACUUAUUCUAAUUCAAAUUCUUUAUUACAAUUCUAUCUCAUUUCAAUUCUUAUUUAAUAAACGCGUCAUUAGAAUGUAUUUAGAACAUAAUAUUGUAUAUUGUUAUAAUAUUGUUCACAUUAAUUUAUUACUUACCUAUGUUUGGAAGUUUUAAAAGUUAGAUUGUAGUCAAUUAUAUAAUUCACUAUAGUGUGCUAACUUUUGUCUUAAUUGAAAUAUUAAAUAUAUUUAAAUUAUUUUUUAUUUUUACUAUAAUAAUUAUAAUAUUAAAAAUAAAUUAUAUUAUAAUAUUAUUUUGUUAUAUUAUAUUAUAUUUAUUUAUUAAUAAUUAAUAUAAAAAAUAAUUAAUAAAUUUAAAUAAUGAGAGUAGAUCUAGAAAUGAUAGUAAUAAUUAAUAAAUUACGAAAUAUUUAUGAAUUUGUGGAAUAAAUAAACGAGUAUUAAAUCAUGCAUUGUAAUUGCCUAAUAUCAAUAAUAAAAGUUCUCUUAAAUUUCAUACUUUUUCCUUAUUCAUAUUAUUUAACAACUAAGCUAAUAAAUAAAAUAAUAAUAAUAAUAUUUUUUCCUGGCAUUUCAAAAAAUAAGAGGGAUUGCAAUGAAAAAAACCAAAAUAAAUACACCAUGCCGUUGGAUUUGCUUUUACCAUUCUUGCCUUGGAUCCAAUGGUUAAAUUAUAAAAUGAGAAAAGUAGUGGUAUGUUGCAACUGUUGCAACAUAGGCGGCUCCUUCAAAUUUUCAAUUACAUAUACCAAACUGAUUAGCAGAAUAAAAUCUUGGUUGGCACAAUUUACUAAUUUAUGCUCAAUCGCAGUCUUGGUAAAUGGUGGUGAUGAUAUAUUUUUAGCAGGUUCCAUAAUUAAAAAAAAAAGUAAAGAAAAGAAAAGAAAGAAAGUCGCCUGUUUUGCUUGAGAGAUUGGAGUAUCCACUAUCUAACAUAUUAGAGACAACUUAUUAGAUUAUCUACAAUCAAUCAAUCAUAACUUGGUAAUAUUGUUUAUUGGAUCAUUUAUCUUACAUGCAUAUAAGAUAGAGAUUGCCUUAUUUAUUAUAUUUUUAACAGGUUUUUUAUUUAAAGAAAGAAAAAAAAUUUGCUUGUGUGCACGAGAGAGCAGUGUAUCUAAAAUUUUUAUUUGAUACAAUUUUUCAAAUAAAACUAAUUGAACUUAAACUUUUACAAAUAGAAUUUUUUUUUAAAAAAAAUUAAGCUAUGUUAUUGAAUAAAUGAAAUAAGAUCAUUAAAUAAGUAAAUGAUGUUUUAGAUAUUCUAAUAUUUAAAAAAAAAAUUCAACCUCUACUUUCAGAAGACUAAAAUUUUAUCUCCUAUUUGUAGAGACCAGAUAACUUAUUUAAUAUUCAAAAACUCUACUGAAAAAUAACCAAAUAACAACAAAAAACUUUAAAAAAAUCAUGUGAGAUCAAAUAAUUAUUUAUAGUCAUUAGAUAAAACGUACUAAACAGACACUAACUAAAGAUUUCAAGAUUGUGUCAUAAUUAAUUUGUGUAUAAUAUACAUUAAAUUCAAAUUCUUUCACAAAAAAUAUAAAUAUAAAUUUGACUAAGGACCAACUUGGUAAUGUCGUAGUAUUUAAAAUAAUUUGUGUUACUUGUACUAUAUAAAUAAUCAACUAUGAAGAGAAUGAGCUAAACUUUUGGUAAUAAUUAUUUUUAAAAGUGUUGUGAGCUUUAAAAGCAAUAAUAUGUGUUUGGUAAAUUUUAUUAUUAAACUGCUGCAAGAAUAAAAAUUACUAAAAUAGAUAUAAUGUUUAAUAAAAUUAUUUUGAAAUUUAUAAACCUGUAUGUAUAAUAUAUAUUUUUUAGUGUGUGUAUGUGUAUAAUAAUUGAAAACUAAAUAAAUACUCUCACCUUAUUAAUUUUAUUUUUUUUAUUUUUUUUAUCUCAAUGUAAUUGGUAAUAAUAAUAAUAAUAAUCCCUUUAAAUUUAAUAAUUUUAUUUUCUAAUUAAAUAAGGAUAAUUUUAUAUGUGAAAAUAUAUAUGAAAUUGCAUUAAGUAUAACAUUAAUUCUCAAAUUUAGAUGAGAAGCUACUCCUUCGCUACUUUGAAAUCUACUGUAUGAUUAGGUAAUUUUUCUGAAUGUAAAUAUUAAAAAACUUUACCAAACAUUAAAUUAGUUUUCAACAUUUUAAAAUCACUUUUAAACCACUUAAAAGCGAUUCCAAAAGGAUCCAAGGAUAUUAAGAUCACUAAUAAUUACAACUCAUAUUAACAAAAGCUAUCCAAAAUGGACAGCUUGCAAGUUUUCAAUGCUUUGACUACUAAUAGUUUUAGCCCUAAUGGUUUUGGUCUUAUUAUUGACGAUUGUAGAGCUUUAGCUCAAUCUAUAGGAGAUGUUACUUUCUCCUUUGUUAGGCGAUCUGCGAACUCCGCUGCUCAUUUUAUUGCUCGGGUGGGGGGUUCUUUGUCAGGUCCGGGGGAGUGGAGGCAUGUUCCACCCCCUUGGUUGAUUUCUAAGUUAUCUACUUAAUGAAUUUUAUUUCCCUCAAAAAAAAAAAAAAAAAAAGCUAUCCAAAAAAUUAAACUAAGUAAUAAAUUACAUAACUCUUAACCAUACGUUCUAUAAAAUAUGGAUACGUGUAAAAAAAAAUAUAAUAAAUUUAACACAAUUCAGUUCAAACACUGAAUUUAAAUUCGUAUAAUAUCACCUCUAAAAAGAGUAAUUCAAGGAGGAAGAAAGAUAGCUUCAAUUAUGGAUUAAGGACUAAUGUACUCCCAAUCCAUUUAAUAGCUUUAUAUUUAUUUUCUUAACAUUUGGGUAAUCCAUUCUUAGUUCUUACAUCAUAGAACUUGGUGAAUUUUGUACAUAUAUUGAAGUUCUAUUAUAGUGUAGUGACCUCGUCGACUCGACUUUGCGUGCAAAACGACUCCACCCCCUUUAUGUCAUUGUCAAAUACGAUAUUAGCCAGAGCCAAAUGGAUCUUAUGAAGGCUUAUUAGCUUGGAUAGACGGAUACAUGAUUCACAAUUAGUCAAAGCAGGAUUAUUAAUAAAGAAAGCUCUCAUCCAUUCAAAAGUAGGGUUAAAAAAAAAAAGGAAAAAAAAUUGAUUCCCUUGAUUUGUCUAGCUAGCUGAGAUUGCAACUUCCAUAACAAAAAGUAUUAUGAUAAUUAUGGGACCCUUGAAGUGGGAAACCCAGCCCACAUCUUCGUCUUUUACAAACUUUACUUUUGUUAUGUUGCGAUCCCUUUAAAGGAUUUGGUGACAUUUGCAUGGAGGAACAAUCCAGUGUCCAACUUUAACACUGCAUUGAUGUUGAGCUGUGGGGUUCCCUUCUUCUUUUCCUUCUUUCGAAAGUAUCAUAGCAUGCACAACUGUACGACCCUACCCUAUAUCAAAACCCCAUGAGAAUGGGGACUCUACGGCCCCAUUUCACCAUCAUUUGAACUUCUAGCAUGACAAAAUACAAAUCACGAAUGGCUUUGUGGACUAAGCUAAUUAGCUUUUACAUUUCAUCAUCAUUCUUACAAGCAAUAAAGCUUAACUAUUUUCCGUGAAACACUUCCAUUACUGAUUAUCAACAGAUAAAAAGUAAUUAAUAAAGUUAUUUACAAGUACUAUGAAUAAUGAAGUGGACCUUUCUCUUGAGGAAUUUGCAGUUAAAACCCCCAUCCGAUCCCCACGUGCCACUUCCAACUUAUUAUAUAUCCACGCCAUAAGCUUUAUCCAGACUGAUUUAUGAGAGACUAUUGAUUACAGAAAAUCCACUCAGCUUGUAAGUUGUAACACGGACAAUUCAGAGGAUUAAUUUGGAUUACGUUGAGGUGACAAGGCUUGGCAAGAUUCGCAUCACCUUCGUUCUUUUAAUCAUCUUGAAUUAUGUACUCAAUAGCACUACUAACUCAUAUACGUAGACAAAAAUCCGGGCUUUUUUGGCUUACACGUUAAGGAAAAGUGAUCAUUAUAGCAGGGAAAAAAAUUAAUAUGGAAGUGUUAUCCUAUUUGAGAUUAGAGGGAGUAGUUAUCGCUUAAUUACCAGUUCAAUGCGAUGAUUUAUUUUCUCAAGAACGGUUCUUCAUGGUCCCAGCUUUGGAACAACUAACCCAACAAAGUACAAUAUACUAAUGUAGCCGGGAUGCGGACGGCACUAGUUUUGGAGAUUGUUACUGUAGAAGCUGAUUUAUUUAAUUAAUUGCAGAAGUAAUAUAUUUGCCAAAUAAUUUGCCCAUAAGGGUGUCAUGAGUGACUUUUAAGUAGUUUUAUCUAGUCGAUUACUUGAAUUUAAAUGACGGAAUAAUAAAAAUUAAUUUAGAUUUUGCUCACCUUUUUUUAAUUAUUUUUUAAAAGAAAAUUAUCAAGUGAUUAUGGUUUGUUAACAGUGGAUUCACAAUAUAUAAUUUAAAUUGGCAAGUGUAUAUAUCCAAUACAUUAAAAUGUGUUAUAGAAAACACAUGCAAUAAAUACCAAUCACAACUUUUUAAAAAAGUCAAAACAAAAAUCAUAUCACCUGUGAAUUUCACUCCCAAUUAAUAAUAAUUCAUAAUAAUUGUUGUUAGUUGCACUCUAAAAAUAAUGAGGUAUGAGAAAAAUCAGUUAAAUAUUUGGUAAAAUUUAUUUUUAAAAGUGUUUUGAGUUUUAAAAGCAACCAUAAGUGUUUGGUAAAUUUUACUAUUAAAUCGAUAUAAGAAUAUAAAUGACUGAAAUUGAUAUAAUGUUGAAUAAAAUUUAUUUACACCAUUUAUAAUAAUG